UAUGGUUCAUGCAUUGCCACUAUGAAUUCCAUUUGACUAUGGACAUGGCGGAAGUAUUCAUUGUAGAGGAUGGUCCGACAGUGGACACAUCUCUCCCUCCACCACCUGCUCAUUUUCCAACAUAUUGUGGUCAUGACGACAAUCUCCUUCUGGGUGAACUGUGCCUCCAAACUAAGAAGAUGCAUGAAAUCCCACGCAUAAAUGUAGUCUGAAUAAAUAUUACUGCAACCGCCGGUUAUCAAAUUAAAUAAUGGAUGGCCCACGCUAGUACCUAGAUUCAAGUAUGCAUAUUAAAACUACUGUAUCGUCUUCACUCUAUCAAUAAUGUGAGGCCAAUUAUAGGACAAUCCCCUUUUAUAUCCAUAUAUGCAUAUCUUUCUUUUUUCUAUAUUCGAUUUUACAUCCUAGUGAAUUGCAAAUUUUAUCUAUAAUUGCAUAUACUCUCUCCGUCCCAAAUUGCAGAUCGUUUUGGCAUUUCUAGCUAGAUUCAUAUCUUUUAUUAAUAGCUUUUAUAAAUACAUGUACUUACAAAUUAGACCCGUGUUCAAGUGGAAGUGACUAGAGGAAUAAUGAAUCAUGUCGAAAGUCCCCCAAACACGAUUAAAAAUGUUCAGUCACCCUUCUGACGUACAGUCCAAAGUUCAAAGCACGGGAGCUGCAAACAAUUAUUUCACCACCGUUUUACACUUAAGCCAUAUAUAUCCUUCGUACAAAGACCAGGCGGAUUACACAUAAAGAGGUCCAACUAGCUAGCUUCUCAACAUGCGACUAGUAAACCUGAAGCAAGAUCGAAAUAAUAAUCAAGAAGCCAAGCAGUUUCAAUGUCUAUUUUGUUUUGUCUACAUACAUGUAGAACGUGGUAAACUAAAACUUAUACUAUAAUCUUUUAAGAAAACACCGUUGACCUAAAAAGGAAGACAUCUAACAUUAUUUUAUAAAAAAUAAACUAGUGAACAAAGAUAUUGCAAUAAGAAAGACAUUACCAAUACAUUAGCUGGUGUCUUCUACGUAUUAAGUAAUAGAGUGCAACUAGUCGUACGUGAAGUAUUUCCCCGAUACAAAGUAUGUUUAAAAAUGAAAAUUCCGGCCUACUAUCUUUCUCUCUUCCCAUAGUUAUCUCUAUGAAUCCUAAAAUUGUAACCUUUUAAUUAGAAUACUAACUUCAUGUAUCAGUAUUGAAAUUGAUGGCACAUAUAAUAGAUAUUGAUAAGUUUUUAUUAACAAUAUAAGAUAUCGAUCACGUUUGGAUGCCCCCCCCCCCAUCCACCCACUUAGAAUUUCUAGUUCCACUACUGGUUGGGUGAUACCAUAUGAUCUUUCCUAAAAGGUUCUAGAAAGGUAGUUUACCUAGGGUAUAUGCACUUCUUAGUGGAAGGACACCAGUACCGAAGUAAGCAGUUCCAUAAUUUUUUUGGCAGCAUGCCCGAAAUUGAUUCUGCUCCAAAAUUUUUUCACCAGGGCAGUGUCUUCAAGCAAGGCACUAAAAAAAUAGGUUUAAGUACUAUUUCAUGGAAACACUUGCGGAGCAGCAGCAGUCUGGGCUAGUAUUGAUGAACCAGCCACAUCAGUGGGCCACCUAGUGAGCUAGUAUUGGAAAUGGGUUACAAUGUCAAUUCUGUUAUUUGGAUGUAGAUGAAAUUGCUACAUGGAAUCAAAUAAGAUGGCAAAUACCAAUUCAUAUUUGGAUGUUUAAAUGGUGAAAUUGAGAGAGAGAGAGAGAGAAGGGGAGCGACGGGCGGCGCAGGCACCCGCCACAGGCCACCUCUGAGCCGCACUACGCGUGGACGGCCAUUGGCUGCAACUCUGCCUAGCUUGCGUUGGUUGCAAGGAAGAUCGGAGGGGGCGCUGCCGCGUGGAAGAUGGGAGAGGGCGCCGGGCACGAUGAAGAAGGAAGGGGGCACCGCGCAUGCGGAAGAUGAGGAGGGGGACCAGGGCAGAGGGGCGGACACUUGCGCUUUUCACACUUGCGCGGACAACAUUCUAGCAGUUUGAAGAUAGAAAGUGCAUUAUGGAUGGCAACGGGUACAAAUUACCCACGUGCCCACAGGUAAAAACCCAUUAGGGUGAGGAUACGAGUACCAUUUAGUAACUACGGGCAUGGGUGCGGGUUUGAUUUUGUGCCCAUGGGUAAAAAAUUUGCGGGUAUGAAAAUACCUUACCCAUGCCCGCAAACCCGCGAACCCGCUUGAGAUGUGGGCCUGCUACACAUGUAUAUAAUAUAAGGAUUUUCUAGGGUUCCCUUAUCCCUUGUCCUCCCCCAGGCCCCAGAGGCCAAGUCCCCUACAGAGCCGCAAUCCUAGCCUCCCACAGACCGCAUGCCCGCAGCGGUGCAGCCUCCCUCCAUGGCUCCGUCCCUCGACUUCCGCCGCCAGUUCCCUCCGGCCACCGUCUGCCCUCCAGCCGCCAGCCAUCCCUUCCCUUCCCGCCGGCAGCCACCUCCCCGCCACCAUUUUUCCAUCCGCCCUCGCUGCCCCCACCACCACCGCUCUGCUCGGUGCCCGCCCACCUCCCCGCCGCCACUCGGUCAGCCGCCUGCCGCCCACUCUGGCAGCCGGCACCCGCCGCCAGCCAUCCCUUCCCACCUAGCGCCUAUAUUCCCAUCGCCGCCCCAGCCCCUAGGUCAGUCACUUUCCUCUCACUUUUUCUUCAUUCUCUAUUCAGUAGAAUGAUAGAUCCAGGAACUACACUUCUGCCUUGCCAUUGAUUAAUGAUAGAUCUAGUGAAAUGUCAUGUCUAGUUGGUGAUUUUGUGAUUGUCUAGAAUGAAUGAACUAUUUUGUGACUGAAUGAAUGAUUUGGUGAUUUUGUUGAGUGGUUGUAGUGUUCAGUAGAUAAAAUGAAUGAAUGAUUUUGUGUGAAGCAUGCAACUAUAGCUAGUUCAUAACAACUCCAUGGAUUAAAUGUAUGCAUCUACCAAUUUGAAUUGCUAUUUUCCCUAUAUACGGUCUUUAUCACAUGGUUUUGUUUGUAUUGUAUCACCAAGCAUAACAUGGUUUUGUUUGUAUUGUACCAUGACUAUAGAUUGGAUUGGUGAUGGAGACUCCUCACAGCAGUGUCCAACCUGUGCAGGUCUCGCAAGCUUCCAUCCCUAUUGACGAAGCUCUCCCUGCUAAUCAGGUUAUCAACAUUAAUGAUGGAGUUGAUGAUCACGAGGACGAAGACGGGACUGCUGGUAUAACUUAUUUACAGGGUUCACAUAGGAAGCUCACAUCUACUGUAUGGAAGGAAUUCACACGAGUUUGUGAUGAUGAUGGAGUUUGGAAGGCAAAGUGUGACCACUGUGGCAAGAAGCUUUCAGCUACAACAAGAAAUGGUACUAACCAUCUACGUACUCAUCUGAAAAUCUAUAUCUAUAUGAAGAAGCCUGGUGAGAAAGUGCAAGCAAAUUUGAGGUUUGCAUCCACUAACAAAGGUGCAGUAGCUGUUGAAAAUUAUAUGUUUGAUCAAGAUGUAGCUAGGAAAGCACUUUACACAAUGAUUACACUGCAUGAGUACCCUCUGUCCAUUGUGGAUCAUCUUGGUUUUCAUCAAUUUGUUAGUGCUUUGCAACCCUUGUUCAAGAUAAGAACUAGAAGCACUAUUAGGAAGGGCAUCCUGAAUUGCUAUGAUGUGGAGAAAAGAAAAGCUAGGAUGUUUCUUCAGAAGCUCAGUUGUCAUGUAGCCAUUACAACUGACCUAUGGACUGCUGAUAAUCAGAAAAGAGGACAUAUGGCUGUCACUGGACAUUUUAUUGAUGACUCAUGGACCCUUAGAAGCUGCAUUUUGAGGUGAUUUCUUAUUGUCCUACUUCAAUUACUUGCUGUCCUAUUUGUGUUUUACUUCAAUUACUUGCAAGUCUUAUUUGUGUUUUACUUCAAUUACUUGCUAUCCAACUUAUUUUAAUUGUCUUUUCUAGGUUUGUAUAUGUGCCAUGCCCCAUAUUGCUGAAGUUAUUUGUGAUGCACUACUUAAAUGCCUCCAGAGUUGGGAUCUUGAUUGCAGGGUGUCCACUAUGACACUUGACAAUUGCAGUGUCAAUGACAGCAUGAUUGGUCUAAUGGAAUCAAGGCUUGGGGAGGAUAAUAUGUUGCUGGGUGGAAAGCACUUGCAUACCCGUUGCUAUGCACAAAUAUUGAACCUUAUUGUACAAGAUGGAUUGGAAGUGAUCAAGAAAUCUAUUGCAAGAAUCAGAGAGAGCAUUGCUUAUUGGAUUGCUACACCAAAGAGGUAUGAAAAAUUUGUGAAAGUAGCUCAACAAUAGAAGGUUGAAUUGAAGAAAAAACUGUGUCUUGAUUGCAAAACUAGGUGGAAUUCAACUUUUGUCAUGCUUAGCACUGCUAUACCUUAUAGGAAGGUUUUUGAUCAUUUGGACACUCUUGACCAACACUUUGUUUUCCAACCAAAUUAUGAUUGGAAAUUUGCAGCUAUUGUUUGUGAGAAAUUAGAAUUGUUCUAUCAGCUCACUGAAUUGUUUUCUGGAACAAAGUAUGUGACAGCUAAUAUCUUCUUUCCUAAAGUAUGUGAGAUCAAACUUAAAAUUAACUCUUGGAAAGAAGAUGAAAAUGAGAUCAUUAGAAACAUGUCCACUGCAAUGAUAGAGAAGUAUGAUAAGUAUUGGUAUGAUAUCCAAGGUCUCAUGGCUAUUGCUGUUAUUCUUGAUCCACGCCUUAAGAUGAUCAUGCUGCAAGCUUGCUAUAUGGCUCUUUUGGGUCAAGAAGAAGUUGAUAGAUUUUUUCAAAAGAGCUAUGAAUUGCUAACUCAAUUGAUGGAUGAGUACCAAGUGCAAGUUGAUCAAGAGGUUGUGGGUGCAUCAUCUUAUGGGGCUUCAAACUCUACUGUUAGUGCUGCUGCUGUUCUGUCCAUAUUCAAAACACUUGCUACCACUAAGAAGACCUCAAGUCUUGUUAAAGCAAAGAGUGAGUUAGAUCGGUACUUGGAUGAAGAUCCUCUUCCUCAUGAUGAGAAUGAGUAUUUUGAUGUCUUGGGUUGGUGGAAGGUGGCUGGAACUCACUUCCCUACUUUGAGGUUGAUUGCUCAUGAUAUUUUGGCAAUUCCCAUAACCACAGUAGUUUCUGAAUCCGCUUUUAGCACUAGUGGAGGGUUCUAAGUGAGCAUCACAGCCGUCUUACUCCACAAAUGUUGGAAGCUUUGAUGUGCAACCAAAGUUGGUUUGGUCACAAUCUUAAAGGUAAAGAAUUAUGCUUUUGAUUCCUACAGCUUGUCAAUGUUGUCAUCUCAUUCUAAUGAUCUUAUGGCAGUAGCUUACUAAUGUCGUCUUCUUAUUCCAAUGUGCAUUUGUAGGUCAAGAUGAUGGAAAGAUUGACACCUUUUGGUUCUACCUUGAAGACAUUGAAGAAGAAAUGAAGGAAGAACCUUGCAUCUCUAUCGUCGACUCUGAUUAAGCUUGAUGUUCAUUUGUAUCUGUUAUGUGAACAAUAUUUGUGUGAUUUGAGCCAUGUGUCUGUUGUUCUAGACUUGUCACUUAUGCUUGUUGAGCCAUAUUUAUUUGGCUUGUACUCUUAGUUGUGAACUUAAUAUGUGAACUUGUGCUGUUGUAUUGUGCAUUGGAUCUAUCUUCUGUGAUCUGGCUGGCGGGUAUGGGUGUGCCCGCGGGUGACAGGCGCGGGUUCAAGUUCGUACCCGUGAUGGGUCGCGAGCGCGGGUGCGGACACAGGGUUUGCCUCACGGGUGCGGGUUUGUAAACCCUCUGCCCGUGGGUAAUGUGCCCGUUGCCAUCUAUAAAGUGCAUUCUGCAGGAUAACAUGCUAGCCCGUUAAAAAUAAGUUCUACUCCCUCCGUCCCGCAAAGAGUGUUAGUUUAGAAAAUUUCAGAUACAUUAGUAGUGAUGAGAAAUAUUUAUGUUGCCCCUAAUAACUAAUGUUAAUUGUGAUUGAAAAUCGUACUGCCUGUUUAGUUUUAUGAAUCCUGAGUAAACUCGCGUGCAUUAAACCAGAGAAAUAACAUCAAUUGAUCAUUUGAUUGGCUCUACGCGCUUCCCCAUAUGUUUUUCUUUAUUGGUGUGAGUGUUGCUUAACUAGAUGAUGUUUACUAGGAGGUAAAAGGACACUCUUUGUGGAAUAAAUUUUGGAGUCUAAAUGGACACGGGACGGAUGGAGUAUGUAUCUACAGUACAUACAGAUCUCACAUGUCAAUACUAGCAAAAAGUUGUUGCCUCGAGUUGACCACUAUUAUUCGGUUCACACAUCUCAAGAACCGAUCACAUCUUUCAUUAAGUAAAGUCCACGGUGAUGCUCAUGCCUGCAGCUCUUGUUCAAACAAAUACCUAUGCCUAAACAAACAUCAUGUGGUAGCAGUAAAAGUCUAAUGGAGACUUUUUUUAAAUAAAGUCUAAUCAGAUCAUAUCAGAUACGAAAAUAAAAUCAGAUGUUGAUGUUGAUGGAUUUACUUCUCAAUGACAGUUGGAUGGGAGAAGAAAAGUUUAGUCCAAAAACUAAUGGUCGGAAAGCAUAAGGUACAAGGUGGGCUAGCCCUCACCCAACAAUACAAUCUCGUGGGUUGAGUUAGGCUAAUAUUAUUGUUGCUUGUGUACUCGGGUGGACCUAAUCCUCGUAUGGAGAGCUGGAGUUGAUUUGUUGUGUACUCUAAGGGCCCAGUUGGCACGUGGCUUUUCUCGGCUUGGGCUUCAACUGUUGUAGCAUUGGAAUGUUACUGCAGCACAUAGCUAUUUCUCUCCCUCGCAAUAAAAUAAAUUGGGAGCCGAUGAAGUCUGGUUUCUUUGUUUUCACCGGCUCCGUCUCCUCAUGCCAUUGUAGCAUCAAAAGAAGCCCUCCUAAACGUACGCCCUAACAGUUGUGUUAGUGGAACGGCAUCCAGCAAUGCACGAAUGCAGCACUUCUGCCAAAAACAUGAGCCUGCUGUCUGUCAGAUACACAUGUACACACCCAAAUAACCUAAUCGCUGAUAAUCUUUAGCAACAAGGGGUCAAACAAGGAAUUUAGUUACUUGUACACUUCUUCCAACGAACUUCAAUGUAGCCGUAAUUAAUUCGAUCGUAUUGGAAGUCAUAAACACAUAAUUAGCACUAUGCACUUAAGAUUAUGUUGUUUCUUUGACUUGGAACAAGUAGCUAGUGAACACUUGCGCGGACAACAUGCUAGCAUGCAGUUUGAAGACAGGAAGUGCAUUCUGCAGGACAGCAUGCUAGCCCGUUAAAAAUAUGUUCUACUCCUACAGUACAUACAGAUCUCACAUGUCAAUACUAGCAAAGUCGUUGCAUUGAGGGCAGUCCCAAUGGGACAUUGAUGAUAGUUUCUAUCCCUCUUAAUUAUCAUGUCAACUAAGCAAUUUGCUGAUGUGGCAGUAGAUUUAUUAUGGAGAGAGAGAAACCAUUUCUUAGAGAGGAAACCAAGUCCUCACGCGCACCAAUGAGCUAAGAAACCAGCGAUUCUGCAUUGGGGACCCAAGUAGUUUCUUCUUAAUUACUGCAGGAUCCUUUGCGCUUGCACCGCUGCUACCCAUCACUCGAGCUCCUUUACAUGAUGCACAGAGGAUCUGGUACUAGAAGGGAGAAUGAUUGGUUGGAUUUUUAUUUAGACUCUAGAUAAAAAAGUUGCAUUGUGAAGGAUGAUUUCUUGAUACAAUAUCCUAGACUAUGGAAACUAGGUUGGUUUCUCCCAUUGGACUGCCCUAACUUGAUCACUAUUAUUCAGUUCACACUUCUCAAGAACCGAUCACAUCUUUCAUUAAGUAAAGUCCACGGGCCACGGCGAUGCUCAUGCCUGCAGCUCUUGUUCAAACAAAUACCUAUGCCUAAACAAACAUCAUGUGGUAGCAGUAAAAGUUUAAUGGAGACUUUUUUUUUGAAAUAAGUCCUAAUCAGAUCAUAUCAGAUACGAAAAUAGAAUAUACCACGAGGCAAUCGAGGUAACAAAAAGAAGGAGAAAGUUGGUGAGAUACAACGAGAGGAUUACAGGUUGGUAGGCUGACACCCAAUUAAUGGUGCGUUCUUGGAAAAACGCAUCCACUGUCAGGCUACUUACUCUAGCGGUAGCAGUACCCUUAGUUGCGUGUUAGCUGUUAGCUCAAAGUUGAUGUGAAUCCUAUGUAUAAGAUAGCUUAGGAUCUGUUUGGAUACACACUCAUAAUCUUUAGGACUUCACUUUUAGUCCACUUUUAGGACUUGUGCAUUCAAACAUAUGUCAUAAAAGUGCAUUCAUAAUAUUUAGGGUCUGUUUGGAUACACCCUCAUAAACUUUAGGACACUCAUAAAGUUUAGGAGCUAGAAAUUGGUAGUCCUAGAAUUUAUGAGUGGGCUGUUUGGAUGGAAUCAUAAUCUUUAGGAUGUUGGAGGGGAAAUGACUUUUGUACCCCUAAUUACUCCACCCCUGCUCUGUUUCUAGCGCCGUGGAGAGAGAAGGGGAGGGGCAACAGGGGUAAAGGAUGGGUUGGGGACCACUUUUAGGAGAGAAAUGACCCAUUAUGAUGGUUUGGUCCUCCUAAUGAAAACAACACUCCUAAACAUUAUGAAUGCACUUUUAUGACAUAUGUUUGGAUGCACAAGUCCUAAAAGUGGACUAAAAGUGAAGUCCCUCACUACCCACGCUUUUGUANNNNNNNNNNNNNNNNNNNNNNNNNNNNNNNNNNNNNNNNNNNNNNNNNNNNNNNNNNNNNNNNNNNNNNNNNNNNNNNNNNNNNNNNNNNNNNNNNNNNNNNNNNNNNNNNNNNNNNNNNNNNNNNNNNNNNNNNNNNNNNNNNNNNNNNNNNNNNNNNNNNNNNNNNNNNNNNNNNNNNNNNNNNNNNNNNNNNNNNNNNNNNNNNNNNNNNNNNNNNNNNNNNNNNNNNNNNNNNNNNNNNNNNNNNNNNNNNNNNNNNNNNNNNNNNNNNNNNNNNNNNNNNNNNNNNNNNNNNNNNNNNNNNNNNNNNNNNNNNNNNNNNNNNNNNNNNNNNNNNNNNNNNNNNNNNNNNNNNNNNNNNNNNNNNNNNNNNNNNNNNNNNNNNNNNNNNNNNNNNNNNNNNNNNNNNNNNNNNNNNNNNNNNNNNNNNNNNNNNNNNNNNNNNNNNNNNNNNNNNNNNNNNNNNNNUGAUGUACUGAUCGACUAUGAUAUUAGUGAUCGUCCUAACUAAUCAAAGUACUGCGUACUGAGAGACUGAUCCACUCGUAGCGUGUCGGUGGACGUUGAUUUCGAAGCCUUCCAUUGCCUCAACGCGCUCCACCGGCUUAUUCUAUAGACUGUCGUAUGGGCAAGAGCACUCGAUGGUUGACUUGACUCUCUCCAUCAUGCAUGUAUAUAUCAGAUCAAUCUAAACAGCCCACUCAUAAAUUUUAGGACUACCAAUUUCUAGCUCCUAAACUUUAUGAGUGUCCUAAAGUUUAUGAGGGUGUAUCCAAACAGGCCCUUAGAAGGUUGUGCUGUGAAAGAAAAUUACAUCAAAAACUGAGCGAGACUAGCUCUUCACUCCACGCUUGUCUCGUACAUUUUGCACUGUUCAGCUACCUCUGAACUGAAUCAUUGGAGACGCUCCUACGAUGAUACAGGCAGUAUGUUCGUUUGUGAGCUUCCUUGGUCAUGUUGUUCAAUUCUGCUGGGUGUCCACCGUGUGUUGAUUGAUCACUUUCAUGUGUGAAGUGACUCGAACAAAAAAUCGAUCACUUGCACUUUGUGUUGAUCGAUCACUUUCCGAUGUUUCGCCGGACUAGAAGGCCAGCCCCUCCGCAGGCCAGGCGCAAUGCAAGGGAGAGGAAUUCCUUCAUCUGCUCUCCGUGGACUGAACCAUAAAUUAAUUAGCAAAGGAACAUUUUACUAUAAUACCCUUGCUUAACGUAAUUACUGUGGAGGGAACCUGAGGUUUUCCUUCCAAGCACAGUAAGUAGGCUAAUUAUCAUACAUUUUCCCAGCACAAUUUCACAGUAUUUCGCACAUGCAUGUGUAGUUUUGUAGGAGUUGGCCCCAGGCCUUGCGUGUAGCAUCCUUUUGGCAUCCCUCAACCUUAAUAAGACACCGUUUGCUGGUGGCAAGGCAGCUCUUUUUCAAUUCAUAAUCUUGUUGUCUAAAUUUUUUUACAACUGUUUGGGCAUCUAUACAAUUUAAGUAAAUAAAUCAACUGGAAACUUGUACAUCUCAUAAAAAGAUCGUCUCUAUGGGGCUCCUUUCCAAGAAAGUCAUGAAUUUUUUAAACAAACCGACAUUCAAAUGUGCCAGUCUGUAAAGCUAUUGAUAAAAUAAAGUAUUAAAUUGAGUUUUAAUAUUAGAUAACAUGACUAAUCAGUAUUUGGCCAUUAUCAAUGCUCAGUUAGCUAAAAUAUUUGGCCUACCAAUCAGAUAAGGUUAGACAUUGGAGGUUGGAAAACAUUCGUCCAGCAGAGAACUGAACGAUAUUUAAUACAGUUUUGGACAGAAUGUUUUUUCUGAAAUUUUGUAAAAGUUCCGAACUGGACUAAAAUUUGACAUAACAUUUUGUUCGACCAGACGAGAACAUGUAUGUUCAAUGUGCACUAGGGUCCACUGAGUUAAAGCUUGGCCCCUAGCUGAGCGUAGGGUGGUACCGUGAGAACCUCAAGGGACAUAAGCAUCUAAUCUAAGAGUUUUUAAGCAUUGAACAUAUGUCUUUUUUUUAGAAACCAUAGGAGAUCAUAUGGUUAUUUCCAUGUGGUUUAAUCGGUGAUCAACUGCAGUCCCUAGAGACCUAGAGAUGACAUUAGCUUCGACCGUUAUAUAUAUAUAUAUAUAUAUAUAUAUAUAUAUAUAUAUAUAUAUAUAUAUAUAUAUAUAUAUAUAUAUAUAUAUAUAAAGGGUAAAGGAAAAAGAAGAGGUUGUUAUAAGUGAAGAAGAUCAAUGGGAGAUCAAUAAUAAAAUUUUAUUAGAAAGUUAUGAAGAAGAGGAUGAAGAUAUGCCCCACAUAUAUAUAUAUAUAUAUAUGGACUUCUUUUUGAGGAGUCUUUUAGAAGUUUUUCAGAAAAUUGGAUACGAUUCUCCUAGAAAACAGAAUUCCAAAACACGUUUUACACGUAUAUAUCAUGACGGCAUGCAAUUUAUAUCCAUUUUUUGAGGUUCAAGACAGCAAGUGCUAAGCGACGUAGUUGGCUUUCUCCUCCUGCAUGGCCUCCGCGAGUUUGGACCACUUUGUGCGGACGGUGACCACCAGCAAUGAGCAGGCCUGGCAUGUCAGCCCACAUAUCAGCCCCACCCACAAACCCUGCAGAAAAAAGAAUAUACAACAACAAUACAGCAAUUAAGCUGGAAAUUUGGACAGUUUCGGACAAUACAGCAAUUCAUCCAGCAGAAAACUUAUCGAUUUAAUACAGUUUUGGACAGAAAUCAUUUUUGCUGAAAUUUGGUAAAAAUUCCAAACUACACAAAAAUUGACACAACAUGUUGUUCGACCAGACGAGAACAUGUAUGUUCAAUGUGCACUAGGGUCCACUGAGUUAAAGCUUUGCCCGUAGCUGAGUACAGGGUGGUACCGUAAGACCAGUCUAAGUGCACAGUUUCAUUGUCCAGUUAUCAAGAUAGAGAACGAGGUAACUGUGUCAGCUGAGUGUUAUGGAGAUGAAACUCCUCUCUCAUCUGAUGAAACUUCUCCUCUUAAUUACCUUGGCAAGUUAGCAAUUUUGCUGAUGUGUCAUUAAAUCUAAUACCAUGAAACUCCUAUGAAACCCUCCAUUAAGACUGGUCUAAGAACCUCGAGGAACAUAAGCAUUUAAGAGUUUUUAAGCCUUGGACAUACUUUGUUUUGUUAGAAACCAUAGGAGAGGUCUGAUGGUUCUAGCCACGUGGUUUAAUCGGUGAUCAACUGCAGUCACCGGAGAUGACAUUAGCUCCUUUUUGAGGUGGAUGGUCAGAAGCUUCUUUUUGAGGAGUCUUUUAGAAUUUUUUUCAGAAGACGGGUUACUGUCACACCUGGUUUUAAAAUAAAACCAACUACUACCUAUAUGUCACACCUGGUUUUAAAAUAAAACCAACUACUACCUAUAUGUAUUUCAGAAUCUAGUUUCAUACAUAUAGUGACAUCAUAAGUGAAUAACAGUCCAGUAUCAAGUAAAUGAAUAUAAAUAAUGACUUACGGGUCUAUCAGAGAUAUACAGCUUAAUCUGAGAAACAGAGGCUCCAAACUUCACAGACAAUCUACUGGGGGUUGCGUACGCUUAGAAUUCAGCAUCAUCUUAAGAAAACUUCACACACCCUUCCUCUUCUGAGUAGCAGUAAGUAAGCGUGAGUACACUUAUGGUUGGUACUCAGUAAGGCCACAAGAAAUAGCCAGAAUAACAAUUUAAAUCCAUCUUCAAGUUUAUUAAUCAUGUGAGGGUCCAGGCCGCUCUUGACCAUGAGCACAGCUGUUAUAACAAUUUUACACUCUGCAAAGAUUGUACACUUUCACCACAAGUCGCGUAAAAGUUUAGAAGAACUUUGGAACCAACGAUGCUAUGCAAAAGUAGGCACUUAUCACACUACCGAGGUGUGACUGUAUAGGGAUGCUACGAGACCUUUACAAAGAUUUCCUAGUAAGGAUAACUCGCUAAGGUUUCAUGAUCAACGCAAUGCAUAAACCUCUCGCAAACUGCAAAGCUACCAUAGAGCAGAUCAGUUUGAGGGCCGAGCUAUAUACCAACUAUUGUCUCCCCCUUUUGCUCCUUUCAGGCAAAGCUACCACAAACUAGAGUUUCUAAUUAAUUUUCUAAGACCAAAGCCAUGUGAUUCUUAUCGUUGCACUGUUUUCCUGGGUGGUUCUCCAAUUAUGACAUGGUGGUCUUGUAAAUAAGCAUAGAUACAAGGAUAGCUAAGGACACUUGCCUUUCUCCAACGAAAAGUUACUCUUACUGCUCUUCAGCUCUUGCUCUCUUGAAACUCUUAAUCUUCAAAUCUUUUGAACAACAAUCCUUCUACUUGAAGCAAUCAUCAGGUCCCAACAUACAAAGCAAACAAACAAGUAUAAUUAAGAACAAUACACCAAUCAAAGAGAAAAGCUUUAACAGAGUGUACUAAAGAAUAGGGCUUGAUUCUACAAUAAGGAAGGCACAUAAAACACUAAGAAUAAUGAUACCGUUGAAAUAUACAUCUACCGAGAAACUUUUUGUACAGAAAAAGACAAGAGCUAUAUGCUGAAGUUAUUUUAACUAGAAAUCAUAUUUUAACUAUAAAAUAUCCUAAGUUAGAGUUGAUUCAAAUUAUAUUUUUAUCUGAAAAGAUGAUGUAAAACCUAGUAAACUUUUAUUUAUAAAUAUUCAUGUACAAAUUAUGCCAUUUAAACAUUUAACUUUGGAAAAAUAAACUAUAUGUAAUAAUAUCUAAUCAAUAACUUUAUAUGUCGCAUUGAAUAAAACAAGUUAUAAUUAGAAACUCAUUCACGUUGAUGUUAAUCAUAUUAACACUUGCUUAAAGAAAACCGUUGUAUAAACCUAAUUAGCUUUUAAUUAGAAAAAGCUAAGUAAAUAAGCAUUAAUUAAAAUUAAUACCAUACUUAUUUUCAAAAACACGAAACAUGGCGAAACAAUGUUGCUAAACUAUAGCUUAUGAUUAGAAGAGUAACACAGCAAGAACCGACUAGAAUGAAACUUUGGUCGAGAAGAUACAUUAUCAAAAGAUUUGGGUUCAUAAAAGAAAAGAAACUAUGUGCUUCAUACAUUUUAAAUGUAGAAAUCAAUGUGGAUGAUAUUUUAGAGAAAUAUCCUAUGUUAGAAUUAACUCACAUUAUAUUUAUAUUUUGAAAACAUGAAGUAAAGCUUAGUCAAAAUUUAGUUACAAAUGUCCAUGUAUAGUUUAUACUACUUUAAACAUUUAAUUUGGAAAAGAUAUCACAUGUGGGAACAUCUAAGCGCAUAACUUUAUGAUUCAUGUUGAACUAACUAAAUUAUAAUUUAAAAAUACAUUUAUAUUUAUAUUAUCCAAAUUAACAUUUAAUUAUGAAAACUCGAGAUAUAACCUAUGUAGCUUUUAUUUAUAAAACAAAUUGAGUUUAAUUUAUAAAAAUCUGAGGUAUAUCUCUAAUUAGCUUUUAAUUGAAAAACAUUUAAGAUGAAGCAUUAAUAAAAUUAACAUUUAUUAUGCAAAGCGGUGUAUAACACUAAAUACCUUUUAUUAAAGACAACAUAUUUAAUAGGUGUUAACCAAAUUAAUAUCAAAUUUAUUUUCAAAAAUAUGCAAUGAUGGAAAACAUCACCAUUGACGUGUAAUUUAUGUUGUUAUGAAUCUAACGCAACUUGAAUGGAUAGAAACGGAGCUAAAACUUGUAAUUUAUGGAUUAAACAAGGUUCUAAGGACCUAAAUAGAAUUAACUGUAGAUACCAGGGGCUAGCAGAGAAGAUUUGCAAGAUAGAGCAAACAGUGCUUGUAAAGAGGAAAAAGGUUAGGACUAUAUCUAUAAAAACUCUCAGGUAGGACUAGGGUGUAGAGAUUUUAAGGUCUUCAGGGGUUUGUCUACAAAAAAACCAAGACACAGGGAACCUUGGACUAUUUACAGAUUUCGUUAGGGGCUUCAUCGCAAAGAGCUCGAGAGGGCUUUUGGCCGGCCAAAUCGCUGGCGCUACGGGCAAUUUGGAGCUCGGCCAAGGCAGGGAAGAUGAAGAGGAGGUCGAGAGGAACUUGUAGGGUAGCUCAUCGUCGGCGGAGAGUCACGGCAUUGCCAGGAAUCUGGCGGCAGAUAGAGGAUGGCGGCCGGCUCGGGCCAUCAUGGGCGGCGAUGUUCCAGCGGUGGGAAGGUGAUGAGAACGAGCGGCAGAUGUGCAGCAUGAGGAAGGGAAGCACGAGGCGAUGUCAGCUUGCUCUAGGGAUGUCGGGAGGCGUCAAAUCGAAGCGGUGGCGGUGCUAUGCUCCUCCUACUCCAGGCGGCAACGCUCGCCCCGUUUGCUCGGAUUGCGGUGGCACUGGGCGAGGCAGCAAGGCAGUGGCAAUGCAUGCACGGCAGGGGCAUGCGGGGGUCAGGUGCUACGUUUUAUAGGGACGCGGGGCGGCCACGGCUUAGCGCGCAUGCCAAGGCUGGCCAGCGACAGCGGCAGCAUGCUGCGCUGUGGCCGUUGGCCCAGAUGGGCCUCGACUACAUCAUCCAUGUAGGCUUCUACGUUGAAGUGUAGUUGCGAUGAGAUCCUUUGGAUUUCUUGUUUUGACGACUACAUCAUCCACGUAGGCUUCUACGUUGUGCUGUAGUUGCUUCUCAAAACACAUCUGGAUUGCGCGUUGAUAUGUUUUACCUGUGUUCUUCAACCCGAAGGACAUUGUCUUGUAACAGAAAGCUCCAAACGGGGUGAUGAAGGCAGUUUUGGCUUGGUCUUCUUCCUUGAUUGCUAUCUGAUGGUAACCUGAGUAGCAAUCGAGGAAACAGAGUAGUGCACAACUAGCUGUGGAGUCGACGACUUGGUCGAUCCUGGGUAACCCGAAGGGGUGUUUGGGGCAGUGCUUAUUGAGGUCUGUGUAGUCUACACACAUCCUCCACUCAUUGUUGUUUUUCUUACGAACGAGUACUGGGUUGGCUAGCCAAUUAGGGUGGAAAACUUCCUUGAUGAAGCCAACUACGAGUAGUUUGGCUAGUUCUUUCUUGAUAGCGUCUCUCCUGUCUUGAGUAAAUCUUCGUAUCCGUUGCCAUUUAGGAGUAGGUUUGGGAUCAACAUUUAGUGAGUGCUCGAUCAGUUCCUUGGGCACACCUGGCAUAUCAGCCAAUUUCCAAGCAAAGAUGUCUCAGUUAGCCUGAAGGAAACUGAUGAGCGCGCUUUCCAAUUGGGGAUCCAGCCCUAUGCUAAUGAGGGUUGUCUUGGAUGAAUCACCAAUCUCUAGGUCAAUGGGCUUGGAAUCCUUGUUUGUUGCUAGCUUGACCUUGGCCACCCCCGCCUUGUUCUCUGGAAUCUCGAGUUCUGUUGGGGUGAGUUUUUUCGAGACUGUGAAGACUUGUUGCAUGGGACUAGGUGCUUGAGAAGUCGCAGCGAUUUCGAUGGCUUCUGCGUCGCACUCAUAGGAUCGCCUCAGGUCUCCACAUAGUGUGAGUUCACCUUUUGGUCCUGGCAUCUUGAGCAGUAGGUAUGCGUAGUGUGUUAUAGCCAUGAAUUUAGCUAGAGCUGGUCUUCCGAGGAUGGCGUGGUAAGAAGUCUCGAAGUCAGCGACCUUGAACUUAAUGUACUCGGUGCGAUAAUGUUCCUUUGUACCGAAGGUGACAGGUAAGACGACUUGCCCUAAUGGGAUAGCGGCGUUGCCUGGAACAAUUCCGUAGAAAGGAGAAUCUAUUGGAGUAAGCAUAUCAGUUAUGUCGAGGCACAUUUUCCUCGAGGUUUUGGCGAAGAUGACGUUGAGUCCACUACUAGCAUCGAUGAGUACUUUUGUUAGUCUUAAGCCUGCGAUAACUGGGUCGAGUACCAAGGGAAAAGGCCUGGCUCUGAGAAGUUGGUCCAUUGAUCCUUUCUGCUGAAAGAAAUUGGCACCUCGGACCACUUGAGUGGGGUGGGAGUCGCUGGCUCGAUGGCCAUGAUCUCUCUGAGCACUAGCAUGUUGGACCACUUCAAUGUGGUACCUGGGAUUCCGCCAAAGAUGACGUUGACAUUUUUUGAUGCGACUUAAAAUUUGUCUUCGCCAUCAUCGGUUUCGUCCACCUUGCCUUUGCCUUUGUCUCUGGAGUUUGCGGUCAAGUUUUUUUUAUUAUUUUUGGGCGGAGGAGCUUUGGGUAGUUCUUGCAUUACUCUACGGAGGCUCUAGUAGUCUAUUGCGGAGUGGUUACUGUGUGGAUGCCAUGGGCAUUGCUUCUUGAGUAAGUCGCUGAAUGAGGGGCUGUCAUUGUGUUUGUUUGCCCCUUUUUUGUUUGAGUUGGUAAGUGUUGCAACGGUGUUGUCGGGUUUGCGCUUGUGAUUCUAGUGACCCGAGGUAAUUGUUUCAGGUAUCAUUGUUGCGAUUUCUGUCUAGGUUUUGGUUGUUACCUUGGCUGUUGUUGUUGUUGCCCCCACGGUUGCGAUCAAACCUCUCACGUUCUUUGUCCUCCUCGUCUGCCCACUGCUGUACCAUGAUCUUCAAGUCUUUGACACUCGUAGGACAGUGUCUGCCAAAAUCUUGGUACAUGCGUUGGUCCUAGAGUCCAUUUUGAAAACAUUCAAUCACGUCUCCCUCUGAGAUGUCGACAAUCGUAGCCUUCUUCUCGAAGAAAUGACGUAGGUAGUCGCGCAACAAUUCGCCUUCCUGUUGUUUGACUUGGCUUAAGUCAACUUUGUUGCCUGGAUGUUGCAUUGAUCCCGUAUAGUUGUUGGUGAAAGCUGUUUUCAAUUCUUCCCACGAGUCGAUUGACUUGGGCUUGAGAGACUCGAGCCAAGUCAAUGGCGCGGGUUCCAUCCAUAUGGGAAAGUAGAUGACUUUUGUCUCGUUGUUACCCCCAGCUAUUUGGACUGCUAAUGAGUAGCAUCGGAGCCAUUGGACCGGGUCUUGUUUGCCAUCGUACUUGUUGAUUCCCAUUGGUUUGAACUUGUCGGGUAAUUUAGUAUGCAUGACUCGUGUGGUGAAGGUGGGGAAGUAGUCGGGAACAUCGGUUUCUGCUUCUCAUUCACAAUGACGGUUUCUGAUUAUGUCCCGAUCAUCGUGAUUCUGGUUGAGUACUUCCCUGAGAUCACUCAUGUAUGAAUGUUCCCGAUUGGUUCUAUGGCGAUGAGGACUUUGUGCGGAGUUGGUGUGACUAGCUUCUCCCGCACCUUUGUUUUUCUGUGGUGCUUUGGGUGCACCGCCACGUCUUGGAGCAUCUCUGCUACCAUUGUGCUGGCUAGAGUUGUGGUGUACAGAAGGGAUUGGUGACUCCUUGUCGAGCAACUGGUAAGCAUUUGCCACGAGUUGUGCUAUUAACUUGUUGCCUCUUCAUGUGAGUUGUACCGCGAGCUUGUUGUCUAUGUCCUGAGGUAUGAGGGUUGUUAAGAGAUUGAUCGAGGUGAUUGCUGUGAGUGGGGUGUUGUGCUCUCGUGCUUGUACUGCAUCGAAUGCUCGCUCGAGAUUCACAAUAGGUAUGCUUGCGAAAAGUAGUCGGCGACGUUCUACUCGAGUAGCGUUGCGAUUUCUUCUUUGAAUUCAUUGCUCACUUGUUGCAUCAUCCGGGGCAUUGGCUGAGAGCUCAUCAUCAGAGACUUCUUCAUGUUGUCCUACCCGUCGAGGUGUUCUGUGGUGCUCGUUAGUCGAGGUGUUUUGUGGUGAUGGUUACUAGUCGCGACUUCGUCGUGUGGUGACAUGACAACAAAGAGUUCCCUAUCUGAAUAGUAGCAUCCUAAGCUUGAGGUUGCAAUCUCUGUGGCGCUAUCUUCUCCUCGGAUUGGAGUAAGUGGAGUGCCCUGUUUAUAUGGGAGGGUACCCAUGUGGGCGACUAGGCAUGACUCGUAGUUUUGGGUAAGGGAUGAUGGCUUCAUCCCUGGCCAAUAAACGAAUUUGCCUUGCGAUGUGGAUGUGAUAACCAAACCUUGUGCUGGGUCUGAUGAAGGGUGUUCUUGAACGGAGUCCGAGUUGUAGUCGUAGUCCUCAACUGUUUCUUGUCCUGAUUGGACUCGAGUGAGGAGUUCUUGGUGGACCCUGGCUGCGUUUCGGAACCCGAACGGGAAUCAACUUCGAUUUGAAAUCGACUUGCAAGGUGACUUGGAUACUAACCUGCGUGGGCUAGUCCGAGUCGAGGUCGAGUCCAAGCUGUAGUCGAACUCGAUGCUGUUGACGUUGAAAUUUUGGAUUCUCUCAAUGGAAUUUUCCACUUCUUGAUGAAGAGGGUUUUCGUUCAGAUGCUUCUUCUCCAGCUUCUCGAUGAUGCAACGUUGGAAAUUUCCAAAGCCAUCAACGAUGCAGAGCAAGGAGCCGAAGAUGAAAGUUGCGCCCACCUCGAAAGCAAAUGCAGGUUUGAUGAUGGUUGGUGCCAUCGAUCUCGCGCGGAGAAAUUCGGCGACUCCCCCUACCUGGCAUGCCAGCUGUCGGUGUUUUAUACCGGUAACCCGCCUAGGGAGUACCUGAGGUGGUGUUUCGUGCGGUGGGUGUCGCCGAGAAUCAAGGAGUCGAUGGUGACACAGGAACACGAUUUACACAGGUUCAGGCCGCUAGAUCGCGUAAUACCCUACAUCCUGUGUAUGGAUUGUAUUGAUGAGUUGUGUUGCUUGCAGGGGUUCCUUGCCCACCCUUAUAUAGUCGGGGGAGCAUGGUUACAGGGUAGGAGUCCUAGUCGAACACGGUCACAGAGUCCUACUCGGUGAAGUAGUUUCCUUGUGUAUUCCGACUAGUCUUCAGGAGUCCGUGUAGGCUACGUUACCCUGCAGCGCAGCCUCAUGUCCUAAUCACGUCCAAGUACGCCCCUUGAGUGGGCUAUACAAGGCCUACUCGUGGACCCAAGGAUGUAUGCCCGACAGGGCUAGCUGGGUCGAGCCCAAGGCUCGGCCCAGAGGGAAAGGAUUUGGCUCUAGAAAAAAAUAAGAAUAAAUUAUAGAAAAAGCUGGAAAAUUUUCUCAGAAGGGUCUGGACAUCAUAUAAACGCAUAUUAAAACCUUUUGCACUCAAAAAAUACUAAGAUGCAUUGGUCUGAAUACAACACACAGAGCAACACUAUUUAAUUUAAAAAACAACCAAUUAUUUUUCCUAUACUACAUUUCCUGUCAAGAAAAUAAAUGUUGGGAAAAUUUUAAAAUUAUGAUAAAAUCAUUGUUUAAUUGUUCUUUCUAAUCACAUCCUGAAAUCCAAAAAUUUCAGGGCGUGAUAGAUACGAUUCUCCUGCAAAACAGAAUUCCAAGACACGUUUAAUUUUAUAUUUAUAUAUCGUCACGGCAUGCAAUUUCUAUCCAUUUUUUGUUUGGUCAAGAUAGCAUGUGCUAAGCGACGUAGUUGGCUUUCUCCUCCUGCAUGGCCUCCGCUAGUUUGGUCCACUUUGUGCGGACAGUGAUCACCAGCAAUGAGCAGGCCUGGCAUGUCAGCCCACAUAUCAGCCCCACCCACAAACCCUGCAGAAAAAGAAUGUAAAUGCAGCAAUUAAGCUGGAACGUUGUCGUUGGCAAGAAAUUGAUUCACUUUAAUUUUUAAUUUUUACAAGUACCUUGGUGUGGAACUUGAAUUUGAAGGAGAAAAGGAUGGCCAGCGGCAUUCCGAUUAAGUAGAACGCCACAAGGUUGGUCAUGGCCCCCAUGUGCUGCCACCCACAGCCCCUCGACACGCCUGACAGGACGCCCUGUGCAGCGUCGAGCACAAUGGAGAUCAUCAUGAGCGGGGUGAUGGCCGCGAAUUCCGAGAUGAUCCUCGAGCUCCUACUGAAGAGGCUGGCCCAUAGGUUGUGGCCGAACGCCAGCAACAGGACGAAGGAGACGGCGAGGAACACUGAGAGCUUCAACGUCACGGAUACCGCAUUCUUCGCCUUGUCCACAUUCCCCGCACCGAUCUCGUUCGACACCCGUGUGCUGCACCAAACAUUAAUCCAUGACCCAUCAUGCGUGAAAUAAACACAAUGGUACAAGAACAACUGUGGCUGAGAAGGAAGAAGCAUAUGGAAUUCGUUCAGACAGAACCGGGCUGGCAUGUGAUGUAACGCACCUUACGGUGGCACUGAACCCAACUGUGAUCAUGCACGCAAUCGCCUCAGUGCUAACGCUGCACACAAUUUGCAGGCCAUGUACGUCAUCGUUGGGCUCACGUUGUUAGUUUAAUUUGCAUAUCUGAAGAUCAAAUAAAGACUAUCGUAAUAUAAAGGUAUUUACCAUAUGGCGAUCAGCGGCGUAGCCACGGUGGGAUGGGGAAGUAAACCAGCUAUGAGCACCAGGAGCUCGAACGCCCAUAACUCCAAGCUGCAGCCGGAAUGUCUCACCGGUCAUGAUUCAUGAAUGUCACUGGCACGAGGAACACGAUACUGUAUGUCACUGGCAAGAUGUACACUUACCAGACCAUGAUGGCAGAUGGCGUUGCGAGCUUCACGGUAGGCAACACGUACAUGAAGGCGUCGGCAGAAAACCCUCUCCAUGUUUCACAGAACUCCUUGGAGAUCAGCACAUAGGCGAACAGCAUCAGGCAGCAGACCCAAAACGUUGCUGAGACCGCCGCGGAAGCGCCCGCGAGCCCCAGGCCAAACACGUUCACCAGCAGGUGCGCCAGGGCGACAUGCAGGACGAACGGCACCACGGAGCAGACGACGAGCGGUAGUACCACGGACUGCGUCUGAAGGUAUCGGAGCAGGCAAUGCACGAAGGAAAACGCAAAGAGACCGGGUAUCUGGGCCUGCACAAAAAUCCCAGCAGCGUGGGACACUUCGGGGUCCUGCCGGAGGAGAAGCAGCAGCGGCUCCGUGAAGUACCAAAGCACGGAGAUAAGCAGGGAUGCGGCAGCAGACAUGAUGAACGACGACUGCAGGUACAGGCCCAGCAUGCGGUACAGCCGGGCGCCGUACGCCUUCCCACAAAGCGUCUCCAGGGCUCCGCUCAGGCCCAUCUGGAAAAUAGCAACGGUCACAUCAUUUCGAUCAAAAUAUAUGAUUUGUUUGUUGAUUCUACAAAAUUUCAUAGUGAUAUUUUAACACCAUUACAAGUACAUGUUUUCUUCAUUUUCUUGAUUUCUGAAAACCAUUUAUCAGUAUAUAUAUGAUUUUUUUCUACCAAAUUUGUGGUCGUAAUUAAUUAAACAUGUGAGUUUUUCUAUUUAGAAUUGUUUAGAGAGAGGAUGAGAGAGAGAAUAAAGGAUUGACAUAAUUAUGUUAGGUUUAAUGCUACUAGAAAUAUAUAUUAUUUGUUUUCAUAUGAAGGUUGUGCUUGCCUUCUCAAGAAAUAGCAUGUAGUGUGUGUGCGCUAAUAACUAUUUUUUUCAUAUAUCCUAAAGAUGAAGAAAACCGCGACGCGAAAGUGCAUUAGCGAUGGAUGCUUGCCAAUCUCUUCAUAUAACUGGGCGUAGUAAGCAUGUCUAGUGAUGAAUAUAUGUAAGACAUAUANNNNNNNNNNNNNNNNNNNNNNNNNNNNNNNNNNNNNNNNNNNNNNNNNNNNNNNNNNNNNNNNNNNNNNNNNNNNNNNNNNNNNNNNNNNNNNNNNNNNUGUCCCCAAGGCACACCUCCAUUCCUACGGGCCCAUAUAUAUUAUAUAUUCGUGUUUGCGUUUGUUAUGUAAUGAGAUGGGAAAUAUAAAUUUAUAAAUUGGCAACAAAUAACUAUAUAAAAAUGGGUAGAACCAUUUGAAUAUUCAAAAUAGUGCGUCUAUUCAAAAUAGUACAAAUUGAUUUGUGCAGCGGUUGGCUUAACAGAGUAGCGACACUUAUAGAGAGACACUUAUUCGUAUCAAUUUUGGCUUAACAGAGUAGCGACACUUGUAGAGAGACACUUAUUCGUAUCAGCUCAUUAGUGCUAGCCAUAAAAAAGCCGGCACGAAUAAGUUAUUCGUGCUGGUGUCUAAUAGAGCCUUAAUGGAUAAUCCACUAUCCGUGGAGCCGGCACGGAUAAUUCUUAUUUGUGAUGCACGGAUAGUCAUCUGGAUUAUUCGUUCCGGCUCGGGUAUGGACUUCAAAAAAUUCAAACUUUUACAUAUGGACUCAGAUUGCGACAAGCUUUAUAUGGAAGUGGUAUGUUUCAACAAGAUUUAAAACUUUGUAGUUUAACGAUUUUUAAUUUGAAAUCAUUUAGAUGCCCAAAGUUAUAACUUUAGCAUACCUUUUGCGUCCAUAUCAUUUGAAUUUUGUGUUUUAUUUGGAAAUUCAUAACUUUGUGAUAUGGACUAGCAUAAAGGCAUAUUUAUAUGAAAGUUAUAGAUUUCAACCUGAUCUACAACUUUGUAGGUGAAAGUUUUCAAUUUAAAGUUGUUCAUAUGUCAAAUAAUUUCAGCUCUUGUUUCCCCCUUUAUUCUCAUCCUUCUAAGUUGAAUUUUCUAUUGUGUUUGGAAAUUUGUAACUUCUGCAUAUGGUUUCAGAUGGAGAUGAACAUUACAUGGAACUUGUAGGCUUCGAUGAGAUCUACAACCUUGUAGUUAAAAGUUUUUUAUUUAAAUUCAUUUAUGUGCCAAAAUAAUAGAUAAAAGCUUUAGGCAACACGGGUCAAAAGGAAUAGAACUUUAUUAUGCGUGCAGAUAUCUAGCGUAGGUAGAGUGGUAGAGAUGUAUCGCGCGGGUCAAAAGGAAUAGAACUUUAUUAUGCGUGCAGAUAUCUAGCGUAGGUAGAGUGGUAGAGAUGUAUCGCGCGAGAUCGGAGGUUGUGAGUUCGAAAAUCGGACACUGCACGCGCAGAUAUUUCAGGGGUGACUUGGGACCGUGAGCUUAGCUCAGGGUGCCUCAUAAACAAUAUUUUUUUUGCUAUUUUCGUUUGUAAAUUGCUAUUUCUACUACCUGCGUCGGUGUGUUAUCCCACCGACAUGUAUAAUCCAUUAUUCGUGUCUGCUUCGACAUUGCCAUGAACAACCAACCUAAUUCGCAUAGAUGUCGUGGUGCCAGUCCCAUAACCGGUACGAAUGAGGUUUUCACGCCAGCACGAAUGAGUUCUGCAGUAGCGGUCAGGCAUUCACUAGCAUAUAUCGUCAUUUGUAUAGGUUGAAGGUUGCUGGCGCAAACUGGUUUUGAUUACCGUACACAAGUAGUUUCUACAGUUGUCGACAACAAGGUUCGGUGGAAGUUGUGGUACACAGUUUCCGUGGUUGUGCCAAGAGUCUGGUAAGGAGGUUCACAUGGUGGAGGAGUAGGGCGGGAAUCUCAACAAAAGAUAUGUUGGAUCUUAAGCUACUGUAACUCGAGGCAGAUCACAUUGUAAAGCUCUACUAGAGAAAAGGACACCUGUACUCAACGAACAUGUAUUUGGACCCAGCAUUAAUGCUAGGGUCUAAAUUUGAUCAUCCCGGGAAUCCUUUCCCAACCUGUAUUAAGAUCCUGUCUGGUUCCGAGCUCCUAAAAGUUUUAGCAGCCUUCUAAAAACUCCCAAAAGAGUGUUUAGGUCCACCUCCUAAAACUGACUAAAGGUAAUAAAUGCACUCGCAAAAGGACCAUGAUGCCCCUCCCCAUGCCCCUGUCCCUGGCCGCAGCUUGUCCAGCGACGUCGGCCUCCUCUUCCUCUCCGGCGACUCAGGGUUGAAAUGCGCCGCGCCGUGCCCGUGAUGCCGCGGCUCAUGUUCUUGAUUACAUUGACAAAGAAACCAGUCACGCACGUCACCAUACAUCGAGCACAAAAAUGGUGCCCAAGAACUCGGAGACAUCGAGGAGGCUAGAGGACCCUCUCUAUCCUGCCCAUCGCCCAGUAGCUAGGCACUCUGCUGGCACCAUCACCACCGCCACGAUGGAGGCCAGACAGUUCAUCGCAGACCUCUCGCCCACCCGCAAGCUCACCCCGGUGCCGUUGCUGCCUCCGCCGGGUCUAGGCGCGAAGGGGUGGCGGAUCUGGUUGGGGAGGGCGCAGAUCGGAGGGGGAGUGAGCAGGCGCUGACACCGAGGAGGAGCGGGAGGGCCACGGCGGGCCCGUGCGGUGGUGCAAGGGAGCGGGGGCGGCAGAUCUGGCGGGCGCCGACGUGAAGGAGGGAGGGAGCGGUGGCAGGGGUGACGGAUCCGGUGGCGCGAGGGGGCGGGGGCGGCGCGAGGGGGAGUGGAGGGAGGGAGCGACAACGGGGUUGUGGAGGGAGCAGGGGCGGGCCCGUGCGGCAGCAGCGGGCAGAAUGGCGGCAGGCUGCUAGGCGGGAGGGAGGGUGGGAGAGAGAGGGGGGACAGGGCAAUAAAGGAUGGGUAGUGGGGGUUCAGGAUGGAUUUUAGGUACUUUUAGGAGGAGGUGGAGCUCCUAAAGUUUUUGGCCCUUCCUAAAGUUUUUAGGAGCUUUUAGGAGGGGGGUGUUUGGUUCUUUAGGCAAAUUUUAUCCAGAUUUUAGCUCCUAAAGUUUUUAGAGGGGUACCCAAACAGGACCUAAACCUACCAUUUCAAACCAGUUGCUAUUACCAUCCUUUACUAAUGCUCCUCGAAACUAUUACCACUUGAUGUAACCAUCUGGUAAGUACCUGUUGAUGUAAUCAAUAGAACUAAAAGAUCCUCUAGAGAUGACAUUAAAAAAAGCAUUUCUUAUCCAGGGUUGUAAAUAUUUUUUUGAUAUUUUUUACCGACUAGUACUAAAGGUGACAGAUCUGAUAUUAAAGGUCGGAACUUUUCGUCUUGGUUUUUUUGUACCGUUUCAAAAUUCAAGAGUAAAGGAGGGUUUGGAACCAAUACAUAAGCCAUAAUCUCCAAUAAUAGUGAGACCAAUAUGCUCUCCAUGCAUAUGAUGGAUGUGGUGGUGGCAUUUGCAGGGACCGAUAUUACAAGGGUGGUGGUGCAGAGGCGGCAUGAUCAUGAGAGGUAGAUUGCUUGAAUAUAAUGUUACAUAGAGAUGCAUCGGUGGUGCGAUUGUGGAUUGCGUGGUGAUAGAGGAGAAUUGUUGCGGUGGAGGUCGAUCUUAUGGGCGCUAUCGCGGCGUUAGUUGUUUUGAUGGCUCAUGUCGUGAUGGCCGACGAAGUCCACAAUGAACCUGAUGAGCAGGUUCAGGCACGCAAUGCCUAGAUGAAGCAGCUUGAUAAACUGGAUGUAUUGGUUUUUGUGUAAAUACUGCUAUGCUGUUGUUAAACUCAUAUUUUCAUAUGUGGAACAAUAGGUCAAAAAAAUUAUGCUACCCCAUCACACAAAUAUAGCUUUGUUCAGGUGAUCAUUUCCAUUCCUCCAGAGCUAAAGGUUCAUUCAGAAUUCGAUUACUUACAUUCCAAAAAUGCUAAACGCAGAGACUAAAUGGUGAGCAAUAAGCAAUUUAGUAGAAGGUAGGCUUUGUACGUACAACGAAGGCGUAGCCGGUGACGGUUGCCCAGGAGUUGCCGAGCGUGGCGCCGGCGAGGUGGACGUCGCCGAGGUGGCCGGAGAACAUCACCGACACCAGCGGAAUGCCGUAGUAGGCCAUGUUGGUGAGCACCAUCGGCACCGCGAAACGCAGCUGCGCCUGCGCCUCCUCCGUGUCAACUAUCCGGCCAAGCCAUGCUAACCAGCAUGGUAGCUGCUGCUCCCCUCCAACUUUGCCGGCGGCGAGGUCAUCGCCCUUGCAGCGGUCGCCGAGCAGCGGAGCCGACGACAUGUCGCUGGGUGACGUGGAGCUAUCGGCCGGGUAGACAGGUUCACCUCCUAGCUCGCUGAUAUUGGUAUAUAGGCUAUGGAUCAAGAAGUGCACCGUGGUUGUGUUGUGCAUUUCUAGCCGGAUGAACGUGGCGCAAAGUUGGUGGAUAGUGUGGAAUAUUUGAGAUCCGAUGGACGCAGAUUUUGUUAAUUUUUAAUUUGAAACAUUUAUGAAACUGGUCCAUGUUCAUUUAUGUCGAUUUGUGUGCGUUUGGUCUGCUGGCCAGCUAGAGCAGGUCAUUCUCACCCUUCCAUUGACCAGCAUCUCGAUCGAUCUUCUCACGUGCCUCGCAGCCAUCGCCGGUGGUUGACAGGAUUAUGGUGUCCUUAAUUAAUUGUUGUAAGUCGAUAAUCUUAAAAGAAAUAUGAAGUUGGCUGAGCUAUGUUGUUCUUGUAUACUACUCGCAAAGGAAGUCGUUUUAGACAAGGCUUGGGUCAAACAUUGGAAAUAUAAAUCAUGAAUAACUUUUAAGUUGUUGAGUUUGGAAAUGUAAAAGUCAUAUAUAUAGAUUUGUCUUGAAAAAUGCUUUCAUUAAAAUAUACAUAUAUCACUUUUUGAUAAAUAUUUUUAUAAAAAUAAAGAGUCAAAGUAAUACUUUGGAGACCGUGUUGCUGUUCAAAACGACUUCCUUUGUGAGUAUGGACGGAGUACUCACUAUGUAGAAAAUAAUAUCAUUUUGAGACAGAUUUUUAUAUAUAAGUAUAUAACGUCAGUAAAAUUUAGAGUACUUAGGCAUCUUGUAAUGUUUACAAUUAUCCGUAAGAGAUGGCAAACUGAGAUGAGACGACAUGUGGCACAAUGUGUUUACAGGGAUGGAUGAGUGAUUAAUUAGAUUUAAUUCGACCGAUAUCAUAAAAUAUUUGUUAAUUAUAAAGUACUUUCUCCGUUUCAAAUUGUAGGUUGUUUUGAAUUUUUUAGAUUCAUAGAUAUUAUUAUAUAUCUAGACAUACACUAUAUCUAGGUAUAUAUAAAAAAAAUAUGCACCUAGAAAAUCCAAAAUGAUGUACACUUUAGGAUGGACGGAGUAGGUAAUUUUAUAGUGAUUAGUGAUAAUGCUAUGAUCAUGGAGCAAUCUUGUUUAAAUAACAUAUGUGGCCAAAAGGAAAUAAGAUACCAUGGGAAGUUGAGAUACAUGAAUAGGCAAAGCAAAAUUAUAGCGGAAUGAAAACACAUAAUUGACGGAUGGUGGACUGACAAAUUUGACGAUCUCAGGCGCAACGUUGACAGACAAUGCUCGAUUGUCUCCAUGAUAUUAAUGUAGUGCCACAUGGAGUUUUGGAUGAUGUGACACUAUAUUAAAUGAGAGGUAAAGAAAAAAGAACAAAUUAGAUCUCAUGCAAGAUAUUGUUCCAACAAGAAAUUUAAAGCACUACAAACUAUUGAAUUCUAUAUUGUGGGGGACUUGUGUCUCCAUGAUUAGUGAGGCUGAAAGAUGGUUGGUGAACUGAGCUACGCUCGGAUAGUAAGGUUCGUUAUGAUGAAACAUACCGAUCAAGGUUCAUGUUCUUGACUUGGUAAUGAUGCUUACGUUUUCUUGAAUUUAUUAUAGGAUUAACCGGCGUUGUUCCAUCCACAUCUACAUUUAUUUCGAAUACGAAUAUGAUUUUGGAUAAUAAAACACAAAUUUAAAUAUAUCCAUUUAAGAUACCACAUUAAAAAACACUAGAAACGAAUGCGGAUACGGAUGUCCAUAUAUCACAUUUUUAACGGAUACGAGCUAGCGGCUAGGCAACUUAAUUAUUACCAUCCAUGAGCUCCUUCAUUGUGUGUCACUGCACCAACCGACAGUAAUUUUGUACGUGGCUAUUACGGCGCGCCGCUUAAGAAACACGUGGUCCGAUGCACUUAUCUCGGCUGCAUUGAUACUGCAGCGUGACUUCCGCACGGAGUUACCCUAGUACAGUACUCCAUGUGCGCAGAAGAGCACAAAAAAGGGAGCAGCAUUUCAACUUUGGUUAGCUGACCAAAUAUAGGAUCCUAAUUCAACAGUUCUUGGUAUGCCAAAUGUUUUCCAAAAAGUAAAGGAAUUACAAAACUCCAGGGAUUCGUACGUCACUAGUCACUUCAACAUUGAAGUAACAAUACCGUAAAUAACGUGUCUAUAACAUGCAUGGCGCAGUCUUGCUGACAAAUUUAUGACCAAUAUUUGUUCAAAUUAAACUACGCGGGGGCAACAUUUGUCUAUCAUAAUAUAAUGUUUGGGAUGGUGUUCUUAAUGAACUUUUUUUUUCACUCCACAUGUUUUUUUUGUGAUAGGACCAUCUAAGACGUACCUAAUCUUCACGGACUCUCUUUGUUUUUUAUAAACAAAAUAUAUUAAUUACAUCAGGAGAUACAUUGUUUUAUAUUGAUCUCAAGCAAAAUACAAUGGUAUUCUAGAGAUUUCAAGGCGGAAGCAGGUUGUUGGUCGAGGUUGUUGGUCGAGUGUUAGUUUGCCUGACAUGUUGGGGAUCGCCCAAACAAAUAGUCACCCUCGAGCUUAUCGUGCUCAGCGACAACAGCUCAGCCCCUUAGGAUAAUUAACCUCAGGUGAGGCCUCCUAACCUUAGACGGUGAACCUGAUACGGAAAAGUAAUCUUAGUCUCGCUAUCCUAAGUUUUAACUCGAAGCCAGGAGGCAAUUACCAAUCCCCUGACUAGCCGAGUCUAACCUCGAGCACUCGAAGCUAACCACGAGUGCCAAGUUAUUCACUGUCUUGUGCAAAGUCGCUGGUUUAGAUUGGGAAGCAGGGCACGAGGUUGAGCGCCUCUCGGACGCGAAGCUAAGGCGAUUGGAACUCCCGAAGCUAGGAUGGCUUUGGUCGCGAGGUCAAGAAGCGUGGAGGCGUUGGAAACGUGAAGGCAUGAUUUGUGGAACCAUGUGAGAGCAUGAAUUACGGAAAAGGCGUGAGAAGCAUGAUCCUAAGAGGAGACCAAGUCAUACAAGUUAUGACCUAAAAAGAUCUCUAUGUAAAGUAUAUUCUAGAAAUGUAGUAGGUGAAUGAGGGUAAUUGUGGGAUGUAAAGUGUCCUCCGAGACACUAUAAAAGUGGAGCCCUACCCCGAUGUAAACUCAUGUUCAUUUCUUAGAAUUGAAUUGCAAGUGCUGCUUUAACAUCAUUGUGUUCGAACUUCGCUGAAACUUGUUUUCCAACAUCACAGAUCGAUUGGCCAAAGUUGCUCUGUAGGAACUGAAAACGUUGUCACGUGGUUUGGCUGCAACGCAUACGACGAAUCUGGGUGGUUCAUGGCCUCGAAUUCCACGUAAAAAGGUAUAAGAAAAAGAAAUGUAGUAUCCACGUAGAAGAGAUGAAUAGUAGAUGAGAAUAGAGACAGCGAUACAAAUUAUAAAAUAAUGUUGAACUGUGGGUUGGUAGGGUGACACCGCCAACGUCGAGAUUCACAAAACCAUUACUGACUCCGACAUUGAUUAUCGUGUAGUUUAGUAAAGAAUCCAUGCUCAGGCGGCCGCAUACCUGAAAAACGUAGCUGGAGCACUCCAUCGGACAAGCAAGUGCUUCACGAAGCAAAGCAAGCAGCCAUGGUGAGCAUGGAGAGCCGGAGCCUCCUCGCUGCUGCCCCAGCUCUGGCAGUCGCCAUCAUCUUCCUCUCUACCACCGCACCGCUGGCGCGCGCGGCAUCCGUCGAGCACACAUUUGUCGUAAGUUUGCACACAAAUCGUGAAUAGACUUUCACCAAAUUCGGGCACUAUAACACACUCGCUUAUGCUUGAUUUGUUGGAAAAUAUUGUAGGUGAAUCAGACGAAGAUGACGCGCCUGUGCAAGGAGACACUGGUCACCGUGGUGAACGGGCAGCUCCCAGGGCCGACCAUUGAGGUCACAGAAGGAGACUCGGUGACUGUUCAUGUCGUCAACAGGUCACCUUACAACAUUACGAUCCACUGGUAAGCGAUGAUGGCAUAAAAAUAAGUUCAUUUCCACGGCUAGAUUAUUUAGGCACUCAUUUGGGGAAAAAAAUCAUAUGUAAUCGUUAAUGAUAUAUUCCCUUCGUUGAUUUCCUGAACUACGUAGCCUUUCCUAAAUGUUUUGUCUUUAGAAACAGAGAUCGUACACUUUAUAUAAGGAAUCAUGCAUUUAGAUAGUAGCUACACACUAUCAAGUGAUAAAUAAAAUAUACAAUAAUGAAGUUGAUCUAGGAUAUAAUGCUGACAAAGUUCACGUUGGACUUUGUAGUAAGAUAGUAAAAAAUUUAUAAACACUUACACUAGGUCAGGUUUUGCAACCUUUUUUUAUACAAAAUUGCAGAAUUGUAAGAUCCAAAAGUUUGUAAUUGACAAAUGACAACCUUUUAAUAAGUGAAGCCAUUUAUACCUAUAUAUUACAAUCAUCCUGAUUUUUGAAAAAUAUGGAUCAAAAGGAAUAAAACUCUUAUUGCUAUCAACAAAAAAAAAAGAGGACCGCAUGUGACGGGUGGAUAUGGUUGUAGGUUUGAUUCCUGGGGACACGAACGUCUGUAUUUUGCAUGAACAAACACUUGAGUAGUGACGUGCACUCUGUGAGUAGUUCGGAGGUGGUCUGUGGUUCUAGAUUUGUUUAAUAACAUUUUGAUGCUCAUAUAUUUAUUUCAAUAAACAUUUUAUCUCUAAUGAUGGUUCAACCCUCGAGCAGUGAGAGAGAGAGGAAGUUAUCGGUGUUCAAAAUAAUUGGUUUAUGACUACUUAAAAAUCUUUCACUUCUAUGGAAACUGUGACAUAUGAGAAGAGUAGUGAACCAGGAGAGAUAACACUAGUGACAUCUACGACUGAAAAGUAAAGAACAACUCAACCAAACAGCAACUCGUAUGCUAACUGACCUUGACAGCAUUAAAAGAAGGACACUUCCGAUUAAACAUAUAAUGAGCUAGUACGAUCGACACCAGGUGACACUCGUGGCAGGCAACCGAUUUACAGGAUAUCGUAGGAGCUCAAUGUUGCCCGUUGUUGUUUAUUAUGUUAGGAAAGGAUUAGUUCCUAUAUAAUCUUUAUAUGGUGGUGUUGAUCCUUUUUUUUUUUCAAUUUGGACUCUUAUUUUUAUUUGAGGUGUCCAGAUUGACUUGUAUCUCACAGUUGAUCUUCACCAUCGCAAUCUGGAUCCGCUCGAUAAACUAUGUAGAUUUGACGCAUUUCUAAUGAUUAACUUGGUAAUUUAAAGCCCCUAUGAUUAAACUUUGAGCCACCAUUUUCAGUCAACUACAAAGACAACUGUGUUUUUCAAAAAACGUAAUAUUGUUAUUAUUAUCAUUUCUGAUUACAUAAAUGCAUUUUGUGGUUCCUGAUGCAGGCAUGGAGUAAAGCAGUUUCGGAACUGCUGGGCUGAUGGGGUGCCUAUGGUCACCCAAUACCCUAUCCAGCCGAACAAAGAUUUCACUUAUCGGUUCAAUGUCGUCGGGCAGGAAGGCACUCUGUGGUGGCAUGCUCAUGUCCCCGGCCUACGGGCAACCCUCCAUGGCGCAUUCAUCAUUCGGCCAAGGCUUGGGGCUGAGUCAUAUCCAUUUCCUAAGCCUCAUAAGGAGAUCCCAGUUAUUAUAGGUUUGUGUACCUUUCUGAUAUUGAUUGCUGAUCAUCUGAGAACAUAAACGAUUUUUAGGAGCAAUUUUUAAUUGGGACCCAUUUGAGGAGAACAAAAUGUGUCAAGUCCUCUGGGAAAUGAAUUAUGCAAUUUCGCCAUGCUUGUGCAACUACCUAGUAGAUGUGAAAUGAUCCUGACGAUUACAGGGGACUGGUGGGAGGAGGACCUUGCAGAGAUGGCCCGGAACAUGACGAAGGGCAUCUUUUUGUCUUAUGCUAGUGCCUCCACAGUCAAUGGCUUGGUCGGAGAUCUCUUCAAUUGCUCCGGUAAGCAGUUAUUUAAUUGAUGUACAGUAGCCCACUGGCUCUGUUUUAAUGUCAUUUAGUGCAUUUAAACAGCUGGUUUGACCGAUAAUUCGCUAGAAGAUGGGUGAUCGACUAUUUACAAUUGUGUUAGGUGAAAAAAUACCGAUAUAUCCUUUUCUUUGGCUCUGUUUUUAUUAUAGUUCAUCUUUCAGGUGUCACAAAAGAAGGAUAUGUUCUGGAUGUGGAGCCUGGCAAGACCUACCUGCUACGAAUAAUCAAUGCCGGCCUCUUCUCUGAGUUCUAUCUUAAGAUCGCUGGGCACAAGUUCACGGUGGUUGCUGCCGACGCUAACUACGUCAGCCCGUUCACCACAGAUGUCAUCGCAAUCGCAGCUGGCGAGACAGUGGAUGCCUUGCUGAUUGCCAAUGCAGCCCCUGGCAGGUACUACAUGGUCGCCCUACCCAAUCAGGCACCAUUGCCUGACACCCAAACUCCGGAGUACGCUACAAGGGGGAUGGUGCGGUAUAAGGUCAGCCACAGCACCUGCACUAGCUCAACGACAGUGAGCUCAUGCCAGGGUACAGAAGAAGAAGAAAAAGGAUAUCGAGGUACAUCUGGUGAUGCUCCAAUAGUGCCUAAGAUGCCUGACAUACAUGACACAAUUACAUCGUUCUACUUCCAUGGCAACCUGACCAGCCUGCACCACCAAGGGCAACUUCCAGUCCAGCAACAAGUCGAUGAGCGCCUCUUCAUCGUGCUUGGCCUCGGCACCAUCUGCAAGAAAGGCCAGUUCUGUAAGAGGGGUAGCAGUGACGAGGACCUCCUAGUGGCCACGAUGAACAAUGCUUCCUUCCAGCACCCCACAGCGAUACCAACACCACUACUAGAAGCGCACUACUACCACACCGGCCUCAUCAAUGCCACGACACAAGAGCUUCCGAAGGGGCCACCGAAAUUGUUCAACUUCACCGAUGAAGCCUUAAUCCCUUUUGGACCCAAAGAGAUGCAGCUAGAGCCAACUUACAAGGCGACGUUGGUCCGGAGGUUCCGACACGGUGCUGUGGUGGAAAUAGUCUUUCAGAGCACAGCGAUCCUACAGGGAGACUCCAAUCCAAUGCACCUACAUGGGCAUGACAUGAUUGUGCUUGCACAAGGCCUUGGCAACUAUGAUCCAGCGAAGGCCGUGGCCACGUACAACCUGGUUAAUCCACUAAUAAAGAACACUGUGCUUGUCCCAAAUCUUGGGUGGAUCGCCAUCCGAUUUGUCGCCAAUAAUCCAGGUGUGUAUAAGAUUUGAAUGCUAGUUUCAUGUUGGAAAAUAUUAUGUGGAAACCCCUAUCUUGGUUUAAUCGUGGAAAGCCCUAGUGAACCUCCCUUGAAUAUAUUUUUGUAUAGGUCGUCGAUUGUUGGAAAUAGUCUUGUGAACUUGUUUAUUUGAAGUUUAGAGAAAAUCUUGCUAAAAGGUAGAAGAUUGGACUUCACUAGCAGCAUAACAUUAUGUUUGUUCCAUUUAUUAUUUUAGACCAUGAAAGUCCUCAAGACGUUCAAGUUUGCUGUUGUUAAUUAUGCGUUAUAAGGCCUAAACUGUUGUAGGAAAGGAAAAUUCUGGAACAAAAGAUGUAAGCAUAUUUCAUUUAUUUAACCUUCCAGUCAAUACAUAUUUCUAGAGCCACAAAAACAAGUCUUAUGAUAAAAUAGCGCAAAAUUUUAUCAAUAAGAAAUCAUUCAUCUUCUAGAUUUUACUUCCUUCUAUCCCAAAUAUAAGCCUAUCAAGACUCGUGUUCUUCAAUUCAGGUUUGUAUUCCAAUGACCAUAUUGAAUAAUACUCAAUUAACAAAAUUAUUACGGUGCUUUGUUCAUUUAAGCUAAAAAAUUGAUAACUUUAGAAAGGGGUCGGAUAAAAUAGGAAAGUGGAAUCAAAAUUAUGUCUCAAAGUUGUUUGACUACUAUUUGGUGCAUUGUGAGAAUGACCACUUACAUUUAUACUUGGUAUCUGAAGGAGUCAAUUUUUUAAGCAUUCCACGAGACUUCAAUAUAAUUAUCCAGAGUUGUAUUCCUAGGAAAUUAUUCAAUAAAAUUUAUUAUAGUGUUUUUCCGAUUCGCACCCAUAUUUGUUUGUCUAAGUUGCCUGCCAAAGCACCUCUUGGCGUCAAAAACUAACUUAUUGUCUUUUAUGUUGUACAGGGGCAUGGUUCAUGCAUUGCCACUAUGAGUUUCAUCUAUCAAUGGGCAUGGCAGCAGUCUUUAUUGUAGAGGAUGGACCAACAAAUGACACGUCUCUCCCUCGACUGCCAGUGAAUUUUCCGACUAUUGGUCAAGACAUCAAUCUCAUGCCCAAUGACUUAUAUCUCAAAACUAUGAAAAGUUAAAACUAGUGCACAAAGGGAGUACCUGUGUAUGUAUGAAGACAACUCCUAUUACUUAUUUUGAAUAAAUGGUUAUGAAUAAUGGAUGUGCGUCAUGAGAUAAAUGUACAUAUAUUAUUAAUGUCAAACUUUUUUGAACUGAUAAAAUGUCAUGCACCUAACCAUUUGGAUUGAAAAGAUGUCGAACUAGUCAUGGUUGCAUCGCCACCCACACAAUACCUUAUCCAUGUCGGCCAAUCAGUACCGGUCGAAAACCAGAAGGGCCAUCUACAUUGGCUGAGCAACCAACCCGCACAGGGCUUGAAAACAAUGACCAGCUUCACUGCACAAUAUUUGUAUUAGCAUGAAGAAGCCUGGCACCGAUAAUAUCCGUCUCAUCCAUACAUGCUGAGCUUCCAUUAAUAUUAGCAUUGGCACAGACAUAUAUCAUCUCUCAAGAAGCCCCUGAUAUGUAAAAGCAUGUUGUUGGCGCUACAAUUUUACUGACCACAUGCCAAGCAUAUGCAAUUACUUGGAUUCAAUGUUGAAGCAUAGUUAUAUUUUUUUCACACGAUGUCGAGAAGGAGAAGACCGCAGGCACAAUUCAGUGAAUCAUGGUCAAGUAUUGUCGAGGAGGAGGAGAAGACCGCAGGCACUCAUUUGCUGAAGGAGUUACGUUUUGCAGGCAAUGCAGCAACUUAUUCGGAAGUUCAACACACUGAAUAGUAUUGUCUUCCUUGCAAACUCUUCCACAAGCUGGAGUGCUAACUUGCAUUCCAGGAGUGGGUGAACUUUCUAGAAAGACUGACAUUUUUUUCCGCAUGUUUGGUUCGGGAACCAUGCCCCCUAAGCCCUUUCAUGCAUACUUCUCCAAUAAGAGAAUCACUCCAAGAUGAAGGAACAUCUUGCUCGGCGUCCUCGGAAUUUUGGUGCAAAAAUAUUUGUAAUAUCUUCUGGUCAUGAGCUUCUCGUCAUUCAUGAUCAUCAAAAUAUUACCGUGGUCUGUAGGCUGUAAUGCUCCACGAUUGGUUCCCCGAAAGCUAUGAGUAGAGAUGGGUAGAAUACGGAAAUUCAUGACGCCAUGCACGAUCCAUAGUCCCAGGCCUUCCAAGCACUAAUGAGCAAACACUGAUUUAGAUCUAGUGGAAUGACAUCACGAAUCAUAACAUCACCGUGUCCACAUAAUGAAAACUUCACCUUCACCUUGUGUACGUAUAAACCACGGUUAUUUAACCAUGAAAUAUCUGGCCUCGUAUGAUGCAUCCGCGACAGUCCCAAAACAUUCACAAGACAUUCACUUGCAGCAUUGAUGACAGAGAAUUGAUCCACAAUCGUAGCACUUGUACCCGCAACAACUUCACAGCGAGUGUAGCACAUGGAAAGAUCAGGAUCCACGGUUGGAUCCUGCUCAUAAUUUCGCAAUGCAGUGCCCAGAAUCAUGGUAGCAAUCAUAAAAAAAAAUCUCAAAUAGUACAGUUAACAGCAGAUAUACCGUGAUCAACUUAGCAAAACUGAUACGACCUGAUAAGGACAUGCUUGCUGUGCACAGGAUCUGUCCCAAUCUUUGACGGUACUAAUCACUUACAGAAUUUAGUCUCAAUAGUAUGGCUGUCCAAUAUAUGCUCCCUUUCUAAAUUCAGUUGUCGUGAUUAUUUGCAGACUAGGAAUGGUGAUAGACUAAUCUGAAAAUACUAGCAAAACAGAUACUGCACAAGAUAUAGCUUCUUGUACAGAGCCAAAUAACUGGAAUAUGAACAACAGCAUUCAUAGCUAUCUUCUUUUAAAUCAGGCAACAGCUGGACACUCUUACAGCCACAAGAUGGAAAUCUCCACAGACACUACCGGAAACCUUAAAUUUGCCGAGUGUUUUUUUCGGACACUUGGCAAACAAGCUCUUUGCCGAGUGCCGGGCUAAGAACACUCGGCAAAAAAAACACUCGGCAAAUGAUGGAUUUGCCGAGUGUCAGAAAAAAAACACUCGGCAAAAAGUGGGUUUGCCGAGUGUCAAAAAAACACUCGGCAAAGAGUGUGAUUUGCCGAGUGUCAAAAAAAACACUCGGCAAAACAAUAAAUUUUUUUCCUCUUUCCACCUUGAAAUUUUUUCUACUACCCACAUACAACAUGUGGUACUCCAUGUUAAAGUUUGGUAUAUUUUUGAAUUUGUUUGCUAUAUUUAUUUAAUUAAUUGUAUUUCAAGAAAAUUUUUGGUAUAAGUCAAAUUUGAACUGCAAGUGAUUCAAAUUAUAGAAUAAAAUGAGUAGAAAAAUGACCAAUUUGAGACCUGACCCAAUUUUAAUUGCAUUUCAUGUUAUUGGCCCAAUUUGAGACCUGACCCAUGAAAUAAAAAGAAAUUUCGAACAUCUUGUUCAGGAAACACGACCACGAACGUGUGGCAGUGGUAUUUUUAAAUUGUAAAAAAAACAAGCAAAGUCUGAAAAUCAUGAGAUUUCUCAUGAUGUGAUGAUAUCAUACGUGGAGGCUAUGGAAAAAAUUGAGAAGGUUUUGCAUAUUUUGUCACGUACGAUGUUUACAAACCGACGCAUCUCAAAAGAAGAAUAGUAACGUUGAGAAGGAUUGGAUAAGAUUUGGAGUCAAAAUGACAGUCGAGUUUUGAUUUGACUACAAAACUUCUUGUAUAGUCAAUAGAGAAUAUACAUUAUUUCAUGUGAAUUUUUGGCAAUUUUUUGAAAUUGUUGGAUAAUUUUAUUUUUUUUAAAAUAGCUUUGCCGAGUGUCCUAGGUUAGACACUCGGCAAAGCAACCCUUUACCGAGUGUCACACCUAGGACACUUGGUGAUUUUUUUCCCACACCGCGCAGGACAUAAAGUCCCACCAACCAGCACCGCACCCGGCCCCUCAUCUUCAUAUGUUGUGGAUGGUAAUUCAUUAUUCUCAGGAAGAAUCUUCUUGACAAUGUUCAACAUCCCCUGAAAUGCCUUAUUGGACACACCAUUUUUUGCCUUCCAUUGCACAAAUUCUAGUGUCGUACCUAGUUUUUUAUGGCCCUACUGGUAACAUGGGUACAACAAUUUUUGGUGAUCAUCUAUCAUGCGCUGCAACUUUGCUGCUUCCUUCUCAGUUUCGCAAUCUCUGUGUGCAUCUCGUAUCACCUGACCAAGGUCAUCAGUAGAGCCAUUUUCUGCAAACUCAUCUUCAUCAGCCUCGCCCAUUGUAGUAUCUGCAAAAGCUUGGCCUGCAACCCAGUCCGGAAUGCUUUCAUCUUCCUCCUCCUCCUCGCCAUCUUCCAUUACAACCCCUCGUUGACCGUGCUUGGUCCAAACCAAAUAGUUAGGCAUGAAACCGUAUUUAAACAAGUGGCUGUGAAUAGUCCCCCAGGAAUAAUUUGAAUACUCCUUCUUGUUAUUGCAUUGGAAGCAUGGACAACAUACGAACCCAUUCUCUGGCUUGUUCGCUUUGGCCACUUCGAGAAAAUAAUGCAAGCCAUCAAUAAACACCUUGCUCCACCUGUCUGCAUUAUACAUCCAUUGCCGGUCCAUCUGCAUCGUAUUACGCAUGAAAAUGGAUUACACUUGACAAUGGAUUAUGCGUGAAAAUUGAUUAAAGAUCCAAACAACAUGAUACAAUACAACAACAUGAAGAUCCAAAUAUACAUAUUUAAAUUAAAGAUCCAAACAACAUGAUACAAUACAACAAGCCAUCCACUGGUUAUUAUCUAGGAGGACUUUAAGCAUCCUUGGGCGGUGAAGACGAAGGUUCCACUGACCCAGCCUCAUCCUUAGGUUUAUUUGUGCCGCCUGAACUGGUAGUACUAAGUGGACGUGAAACACCCGGGACUGAGGGUGGAGCAUAACGACCACCAAAAGGAGGUUCCUGACCCGAGGCAACAGCUUCUUCAUGACGGUGCUGCAAAUAACAAAACAUUGCUUUUUCCAACGCGCUCAUUUUCUUCGGCUUAUGCUGAGGGCCAACUAUGAUUUUCCCCUUGCCGAAAGAGGAACCACGACCACCCCCACCAUCACCACUUCCUCCAGUAGCAGAAGCUAUCUAUGUACAAAAACUAUUACCUUAACACUGCAUAAGUUGUUGAACUUGAAGACCGUGAUCAUCUCGUGAGCAUGUCCUCAACUGGACGGCACCGCACUUCGUCAUGAAAGAGGUUCGAUUCUACGGAAAAGGGGACACAGUCACGAUGUCUGUAUCCACUCAUUCUCGUAGAAUCGAACCUCCUUCUUGACAUACGUUGCUGCUCGGCGGAGAACAUCCUCUCAGAGAUGACCAUGGUAUGCAAGUUCAACAAGUAUGGAUUUGAAAAACCAUAUUGAAUUUGAUAAGUUCAACAAGUAGCAGAAACCAUCUAUGUACAAAAAUUAUUUCCUUAGCACUGCAGAAGUUGUUAAACUUGAAGACCGUCAUCAUCUCCCGAGCAUGUUCUCAACUGGGCGGCACUGCACUUCGUCAUGAAAGAGGUUCGAUGCUACGAAAAAGGGGACACGGUCACGAUGUCCGUAUCCACUCUUUCUCGUAGAAUCGAACCUCCUUCUUGACAUACGUUGCUGCUCGGCAGAGAACAUCCUCGCAGAGAUGAACACGGUAUGCAAGUUCAACAAGUAUGGAUUUGAAAAACCUUAUUUAAUUUGAUAAGAUAAACCGUCUAGACAAGGUAGCAUCAUUCUUAAACCACUGCAAGAAUACAUACUAUAUAUGACACAUCAAUCUCUCUUACAUUCUAGCUCAAAAUACCUCACCAUUUUCUACUUCAUCACAUUCUAGCAAUUAAUCUUUCCAUCUCCAAAGCAUAAAUCAAAGCAUAACAUGAGGAUGAAGUAGCAAACCUUCACAACACUUGUGUUGGCUGAGUAAAAUUCCCAUGAAAAUGAGGGAAAAAACUUCGGGCAGCACCUCCCUUGCUUUGUCACCACCGGAGAGUAGGUGAAGCUCAGCUCUCUGUCUAUGUGCUGGACUGGCUCGGGCUGGAGGAGGAAGAAAAGCCUCUGUCUUGGUAUAUAAUGGGAAUGAGUUUUUAUCCCGGUUAAAAACUCCAACCGAGAUAAAAAGGAACACCUUUUAUCCCGGUUGAAAGUUUAGUCCCGGUUGAAAGUUUAGUCCCAGUUGGAAGCUGCAACCGGGACUAAACUUUUUGUGCUGUAAUGAAAAAAAUAUGUUGUUUAUAUUUUGUAUAAUAAAUUUACAAAUAUUUAUAUUGUGAUCCUUGCAAACACUUCCACGAGAUCGAGUGCUAACUUGCAUUCUGAGGGUAGGAGAACUUUCUAGAAAAGCCGAUCUUUUUUCAGUAUGUUUGGUUCGGGUACCAUGCCCUCUAAGCCCUUACAUGCAUUCUUCUCUGGUAAUAGAAUCACUCCAAGAUGAAAGCACAUCUUGCUUGGUGUCCUAAAAAUUUUGGCCAAAGAUAUUUGUCAUCUUCGGGUCACCUACCAUUGAUGUAAUCUUCUAUUUCUUGACACAAGCUUCUCUUCGUCGGCGAUCAUGUGGUGUGCAGGCUGUAAUGCUGAAACAUUAGUCCCCCAAAAUAUAUGAGUAGCGGUGGGCAGAAUACGGAAGCUACAUCAUGAUGCCAUGCACGAUCCAUAGUCAAGGGCCUUCCAAGCAACAAUGUGCAAACACUGGUUUCAAAUGGAAUGACAUCACAAAUCACAAAAGCACAACUCCACACGGUGAAAACUUAAACUUCACGUCAUGUUUAAUCUUAAUACCUUGCUUAUUUCACUAUAAAGUAUAUGGCCUAUGAUUCAUCCGUGAUGGUCCCAAAACUUUCACAAGACAUUCAUUUGCUGCAUUGAUGGUAGAAAAUGGAUGCACAAUCGUAGCACAUGUACCCGCACCAACUUGACAGCGAGUGUAGAACAUAGAAAGAUUAUGAUCCAAGGUUGCAACCUGUUCAUAAUUUUGCAAUGCAUCCCAAUAAACCUCAUUGUAGCUAUCACCAAAUAAAAAAUCAGAAACAAUACAAUUACUGGCAUAUGUACCAUGAUCAACCUAUCAAAACUGAUUUGACCUAAUAAGGACAUCCUUAAUUAAAUCACCACGUGUCCACGGCAUCGGCGGAGCUACUGGGUAUGCCGGGUGGGCCCUGGCAUACCCUGGGACCCAUCACUUUACCGUGAGAAAUCAAGCUGCAAAAAAUGAUUCUCAGGCCCAGCAGACGAUGCAAGGCAAAUGAUGCUCAGGCCCAGCUUUUGGCCCCCCGCUGGUUGUGACUUGCUUGCGUGGAUACGACGUGCUGUGUGCGGACUGCUUGCUUUGCUUGUCUCUAGUACAAGAUUGGCCCACGAUUUGACGCAUCACACCACAUCUCGACGAUUACAACUUCUCCGCCCGCCAGGACUCCUCCUAUCCUCUCACGGCUCCGCCGCAGCGCCGCCGGCCACCGCACCAGGCCACCAGGGACAGCGCGUCUGCGCAAGUGCGCAACUGCGUGGGGGAUUUUAUGCCCGAAAACUUCUGAUGGUCCAUAAGGAAAACUUCUCAUCGUCCACAAACCACAAGGAGGUUUAAGAUGAAUCUAUCUUCUAUUUUUUUUCUUAUUUGAAAAGACAUAUAUUCUUAAAUAUUUUUAUUUAUUUAUGUAUGAGUGCUUUUUUUAUUUCAGUUCGUGAGUUUAUUGAACAGACCGUCAAUCCAUCAACAUUCUUAACUUAAUAUCGUGUGAGGUUGUGAUUUGUAAGUUUUCUAUCCGAAAAUUUAAAACAUGAUUCUAUCGUUACAUGUUUGUUUUGCUAUAAUGUCUAGUUAGUUAUUGUACUUACAUUACAUAGACAUUGUUUUUUCAGAACAGUUGGAUUAUGAAGAGAGGCGGAGAUAUUGCAUCUCUUUUUCAGAAACAUGCAGCAAAGAAGGCAACAGCUGCUUCAAACACUAUCCCAUCUCCAGUUGAAACUUUUGUGGAAGAACAGAAUCAGGAGCAUGAUAGAGUGGUAGUUGAAGAAAUCGCGGAUCCUGUGCCCUUGCCUCCGCCACUGCAACCACCCACAUCACAGCCGCCGGUUUAUGACAUCAAUCGCCUUCCACAUGAUCCAGGUGAAAGGCAGCCCAUUGAAAGUUAUCAUGUUAAUGAUCAAGAUGCAAUUCGAAGAGCAUAUAUUAUUAAAGGUCGAUUCAAACCUGUUAAUCAUGAUUUUCCAUCAAGAAAAAUUGGAGGUAGGGAUCGCCAAUUCAAUUAUGUAUGGAUGUAUAAUCAUGAGUGGCUUGAAUAUAAUAUCAAGAAGGAUUCUGCGUUUUGCUUUAUAUGCUACUUGUUCAAGAAGGGUGCUGGGUCAAAUACAUUUAUUGUUGGAGGAUGGAAUAAUUGGAAUAUACGAAACAAAGCACUUCUCAAACAUAGUGGUUCUAUGGCACACAAUGCAGCUCAGGAGAGAUACAUUAGUUUUAUAAAUCCCAAGGUAGCAAUUGAUUAUCACAUUGAGAAGUGGACUGAUGAGGAUCUUCGUCUUUAUAAGAAAAGGUUGACAUAUUCACUUAGAUGUAUCAAGUUUCUUUUGCAUCAAGGAUUGGCAUUUCGUGGACCUGAUGAAAAUGAAGAAUCUAGCAACAGAGGAAAUUUCAUUGAACUUUUGAAGUUUCUUGCAGGAAAUAGUGAUGAAGUGAACAAGUAUGUCUUGAAUAAUGCUCCAGGUAAUUGCACCUUAACUAGCCCAGAGAUACAAAAGCAAAUUAUUCAUUGUUGUGCCAUAGAAACUAGAAAGAAAAUAAUUGAAGAACUUGAUGAUGAGCCCUAUGCAAUUUUAGCUGAUGAGUCCAGUAACAUAUCACAUAAAGAACAACUAGCUCUUUGUUUACGUUAUGUUGAUAAACUUGGAAGGCCUUGUGAACACUUUAUUGGAGUUGUUCAUGUAGAUGAUACUACCUCUUUGUCACUUAAGGAAGCUAUUGAGGGUUUACUUGUUAGUCAUGGAUUGACUAUGACUCAAAUUAGUGGUCAAGGUUAUGAUGGGGCCAGUAAUAUGAAAGGAGAUAUUAAAGGGCUAAAAACAUUGAUUAUGCAAGAAUCACCUUGUGCGUAUUAUAUUCAUUGCUUUGCACAUCAACUCCAACUAGUUCUUGUUGCUGUUGCCAAGAGAAAUACUGAUUGUAAGAGCUUUUUUGAUCAAGUAUCUAUCUUAUUGAAUAUUAUUGGAGUUUCUUGCAAGCGUCAUGGUAUGCUUCGAACUGCUAGGCUUGAGAAUAUUAAGAAAGCACUUGAGUGUGGUGAACUUGAAUCAGGGAGUGGAUUAAAUCAAGAGAUGAGUUUGCCUAGGCCUGGUGAAACUAGAUGGGGCUCUCAUUACAAAACUAUAUGCAGCAUCAUUACAAUGUAUUCCUCAAUCCAUGAUGUGCUCAUUGAUCUUGGUGAUGAUAUUUCACAUAAGGAUAAUUGGACAAAGAUACAUUUUGUGCUUGGAGCAUUUGAAACUUUUGAGUUCAUUUUCUUUGUGCACUUAAUGUUUGUUAUUCUUGGAUACACAAAUGAGUUAUCAGAGUGUUUGCAGAGAAGGGAUCAAGAUAUUCUUAAUGCAAUCUCCCUUGUUAAUGUGGCAAAGAACAAAAUGCAACAGUUAAGGUCUGAUGGUUGGGACCACUUCCUUGAGAGGGUCACUUCUUUUUGCAUUAAACAUGAUGUUGAAGUUCCUGCUAUGGAUGGUGAUUAUGUGCCGUAUGGAAAAUCAGCAAGGUAUGCCCGUGCUCGAAACCAAACAAAUGAUGAUCAUUUUAGAAGAGAAGUAUAUAUUGGUGUUAUUGAUCAAAUUAGGCAAGAGCUUGAUAAUCGGUUUGAUGAGAUCAAUAUGGAGCUACUUUCGUGUAUGUCAGCCUUCAGUCCUUCCAAUUCAUUUGCUUCGUUUGAUGCACAGAAGGUACGCAGAUUGGCUGAAUUUUAUACUAAGGACUUCUCUAACAAUGAUUUGCUAAAACUUGAAUUACAACUUGAUAAUUAUAUUGAUGACAUGCGACGAGAUGAUAGCUUCAAGGGUCUAGACAGCAUCGUUGAUCUCUCAGUUAAACUUGUUCAAACACGGAGGCACAAAGUGUAUGAUAUGGUUUACUUGCUUCUCAAAUUGAUAUUGCUUUUACCAGUGGCAACAGCGAGUGUUGAAAGGGUAUUUUCUGCCAUGGUUAAAGUGAAAACAAAGUCAAGGAAUAAGCUAAGUGACAGUGUUUUGGAUGAUUGUCUAGUCACAUUCAUUGAGCGGGAUAUUUUCUUCCAAGUGAAUGAAGAAGAUAUAAUCAAGACAUUCAUGUCAUUCAAAAAGCGGCGGGUAAACAAAGGAGACAAGUAACAUUGUAAGUUUCUUUUAUGCUAUAUUUUGAACUAUUUAUAUUGUGAUUUGUUAUUGUUUCUAGCUUAAUCUUUGAAUUUAUCGAAUUGUAAAUGGUUUUAUCGAAUUGCAUAAAAAUUUUUUUUGGCAUACCCUAUGAUAAAAUUCUAGAUCCGCCGCUGGUUCACGGUUUUCUGGUUGCUCAGCUCAUAAGCAAUUGAUCAUGCUUGAUCAUUGUUGGGCCAUUGCAUGUCCAUUGGCAAUCUUGACAGAAAUAAUUGAGCUACCAAUAAUAGUGUUGCACGUGUCUGUAACGGGAUGUACGGCGCCUGACAAUAAUAGGGCACCAUCCUUUCGAUCUGACAGACAUAUUUGUGUUACAUUCCUAGUGUUUGUAGUAUUUUUAUUUUCCGCUCAUGUCUACUGAUAAUUUUGCUAUAUAUGGUGCCAUUCUAAGUGUCCUUUUGUGGUCAGCAACUCGAGCCCCUGCUGGCCACAUCAUAGCUUGUCUGCUGGCCUGGUGCGCGUGAACCACGAGGGGAGGACCACAGUGGGCGCUCAGACAAUGUGCAUUAAGUCUGAGCUAAGCUGCCUUCUUCCUCAUCUUGUUAGUGGCCGUUUGACCCGGGACUAAAGGUCCUUAGUCCCGGGUCUAAAAACAAUCGGGACUAAAAACGCUGGAUAGGAGGUCUCUUAACCUAUCAAAACUGAUUCGACCUAAUAUGGACAUCCUUAAAUCACCACGUGUCCAUGGUUUUCUGGUUGCUCAGCUCAUAAGCAAUUGAUCAUGCUUGAUCAUUGUUGCGCCAUGUCCAUUGGCAAUCUUGACAAAAAUAAUUGAGCUACCAAUAAUAGUGUUGCACGUGUCUGUAACGGGAUGUACGGCGCCUGACAAUAAUAGGGCACCGGAACCUGCAAUAUGUCUGGCCGGAAUAUGCAAUAAAAUCCUUUCGAUCUGACAGACAUAUUUGUGUCACAUUCCUAGUAUUCGUUGUAUUUUUAUUUUCUGCUCAUGUCUACUGAUUAUUUUGCUAUGGGGCCUGAUUGGUUUGUUGCCAAAUGUGCAUGCCAAAGUUUUGCCAAGCCAAAAGUUGAGCAAGAAACUUGCUAAUAUUUUAGUAAGAUAAGUGGGAGAGAUUGCUAAAUUUUGGUAACAAACCAAACAAUGGCCAAAAUAUUAGCUUGCCAAAUCCCUGGCAUGCCAAAAUUUUGGUAGUGAACCAAUCAGGUGCCAUUCUAAGAGUCCUUUUGUGGUCAGCAACUUGAGCCCCUGCUGGCCACAUCAUAGAUUCAUAGCUUGUCUGCUGGCCCGGUGCGCGUGAACCACGAGGGGAGGACCGCAGUGGGCGCUCAGACAAUGUACAUGAAGUCUGAGCUAAGCUGCCUUCUUCCUCAUCUCAUAAGCAGUUGAUGCAUGCCUUACAGUGACUGACAUGGCCCAAUGGCACCAAUCCUGCUAACACAAAAUAAUAUUUCAAUCAUUUUUGGGAAAAAGGAGGGUCCAAUUUUGACUCCAUAUGCAAAAGUUGCGCCUGUUUUAUCGAACACUAUGCAAGUUAUAUUAGGGUUUUUUGGGUGCAUGUUUCAAUUGACAACUAAAGAUUAUCUACAACCAAGGACUCCACUAGACUGGCAAAACGGAAGUGAAAUUUUGUAGUUGAAAACCUUUUUCAUUAAAUUGAAGUCGUUUGUAUAUGUAAAUUGUGACAAAAUGUUCUGGACGGUAAUGGUUAAAAGGAAGCCAAGCAUGGGUGUAGUGGCCUGGCUAGAGGGCAUCACGCAUAGGUUUGAGGUUGGAGGUUUGAAAGACAAUCAAAACACUUGUGUUAAUGGCACCGCAAAAAUGGUUGAGGCAAGGGGUUGCAAACGAACCGACUGUACAGUCGGAUCACAAAACGUUAGUACAAAUUGUACAGAUGCUUGCUUAAAGUCGGUUCACAAACCUUCAGUAUAAAUAGUUCUGUAAUAGUGAUUUGUAGUUGUAAUAUAUCACAGGCCGAAACAUGCAGAUACAGGCAUCCCAGGACAUGCAACGAAAAGGAGAAAACAAGUGAUCAUUUUAUUGGUGUUUUAAACCGUCAUGUAACUCAUGUUUACUUUUGUUACAAGAAAUAGAAAUGCACAAAGACAUUUCUAUAAUACUAUUACUUUGCUACGUGGAAUUGGAACUUUGUAUCUGUGUCGUGGUUAGCGUCACGGUGCGGCAGAGGUAUCUCUGGAGCUGCCGAGCUAGUGCUGGUAGGAAUCUGUGUCGUUGUGGCCUUGUGGCCUUGUGGCAUGGUAGGUGCUCAGCAAUUAAUCGCACGUAUUGAAAACGUGUCUGUGGUCCUAUUGCUCAGCUCACCAAGCUCAUAUAAUGUCUUACACAGCAACGCACAGCAGCCAUGGCGAGCAUGGAGAGCCGAAGCCUCCCCAGGGCAGCAGCCACCUCAAUGGCGCAAGCUAUCGCCAUUGUCUUCCUGAUCUCAACUGUUGUCCAAGAACUUAAUAAUAUAACACCUAUGUCAAAGUUUUCAAGCAUGGCCACAAGCUCGCGCAGGCAGACCUAAUUACCAUUCCGAGGCAGUCUCAACUGUUGGCUCAAGAUCUGACGAUUGCUGCCAUUCCAAUUUCGAUUAAAAACACGUAGUGAUGACAGCUCACUGGAACCCUAACUUCACCCCUUAGGCCCUAAUUUCACUUUCCCCCUCACGUCUCCUCCUUCCUGUCUCUUUAUGUUAAUUUUUAUACUCGAAAAAUGUGAGAUUGAACUAACUGUAUCUCUAGACAUUAUGUAAAAAAAUAUGAAAAUAUCAACAAUAUAGUUUCGACAACCAUUCAUAAAUUAAAUAUUAAUAAUAUGAAAUCGGCAUGCAUGGUGUCGGGUCCAUGGUGUGCUAUCCGUGUGUUAGGCGGAGUGAGACUGAGAGAUGAUGGAGAAAGUAGAGGCCUAGUACACGUCAGUUAUUUUCUGUUACUUUCUUAAUGUUCUUUUUGUGGUUAGGCAUCUGACUGGCACAUCAUAAGUUUGUCCUGGGCUGCUCAGCUCACAUGCAAUUGAUGCUUGACAGUGACUGUCAAAACUAGUGUUGCUCGAUUUGACGGCUUAUACAUGGAUGCCUGACAAUCACAAUGAAACCUCCAUGUUCAAACACAAUCACAAUGCAAAUGCCUGCCCUUGGAUCCGACUGAUACAUUUGUGUACUGACCACUGCUGGCAACAUCAUAGCUUGUCUGCUGGCCUGGUGCGCGUCAACCACGAGGGCAGGACCAGUGACCUGGCAAGGUGAGGUGGGUCGCUCAGACAUGGUGCUUUAAGUCUGAGGUGACUCUGCUUUAUUCGUCUUUCUUUCAACAGUGUUCAACAUCCAUCGAUCAUGAUUUGUGAAGUACCUGGAUUUAUUACUUAAUAUAGCAUUUCUCAUCUAACAUUGCACAAAGACCUUCAUGAAUUCUUGAUUGCUUUUUGGAACGCGGAAAGCACAAUCGUUAUUUUCCUUUAUAAGUUCAUUAAAUGGCCAUGAACCACGAUACAUUCAUAGCUUUUACCGUGUUGGCAAUUUAUAACUAAACAUGGUCUACAAACAAGGACUCCCCUAGACCAGCAAAACGGAAGAGGAAUUUUGUAGUUGACAACCUUUUUCAAUAAUUUUAGAAUAUCUUCAUUUAUUUAUCAAUUCUAGUUUUACUAUCCGGACCAGUUUGUGUAAACGCCAGCACGGGUGCUAAUUAUAUGCGUCGGCUUCAUUAUGUUGGUAUGAUAACCGAUACAGAUGACAUUUUAGCGGUACGGAUGAGGUGCUCUCUAGUUGUAAUAAUCAACUCUUAAAAAUAUAACUUAGAAACUCGUCUUGGUCACUCGUGCUGCUUUGCAAGUUAAGCACUUUGAGUGCUAUAGUUCUUUUUAACAUGUCUACAUUGAUGGAUCGAGUGCCAUGAUUCUUUUGUGUUUACUUUGAAAAGAAGAAGAUGGCUUAGAUUCUGCAUUCAGAGUUUGAACCUACAAGUGUCAAGGGGCCAUACAUUCCUGAUUUCCUGUGUGCAUUGUUGGCUGUUGUUUGCCACUAAUAUAAUACAGACACCGUCGUACUUUCUAUUGGAUGUGGAUGUCCUAUUUUUCUGAUUCUAAUGCUUGUGCAUUUAUUAAGGAUCUAGAAACAAAAUUGACAGCGCGGCUUUCAGUUAAAAUAAUAUAAGUAAUUAGGAGUAAUGUGAUCAAUUCUCACAACUAAUAAUAAUAAUGUGUCUGAUUUUUUUCAAAAAAAAACUUAUUUGGGAACAGUGGGAUCGAGUACUCUUUUUUAGGUGCAUUUAAACUUACUUAUGCUAUUGGAUCAGGGGCGCCGGACACCACUGAAGUAUCACUAAUUAGCUAGUUCACCACGCUCCAAACCAAAAUGGAUUGAGAAAUUAAAAUGGAGCCGGAGGAGCAGUGCCUCGGAAUCGUAUCUCUUCGGCAAGCCAGGGGACAGGCUCUGGUGACGGGGCGCGUUGUAAAAGCCGCUCUUUUUGUCCGGUUCGACCUGUUCUGAAUCUAUUGCUCGAUUUGAGGGCCUAUACAUGUGCAAUGCAACAAUGGUGUUACAUCUCCAUACUCAUCUACCUAAUAGGGCACCGGCACAUGCAAUGCAAGUUCCUGCAUGCCUGCCCAUCGAUCCGACAGAGAGAUUGGUGUUAAUUAGAAUCAUAUUCGUCACUGACCAAAAUUUCCAGAUAACCAAGUCUAAUCAGUUACUGUAUAUGAUACUUUCAUGCUCAUGCCUACUGACCAUCUUACAAGUACUAUAUAUGAGUGUCCUUUUGUGGUCAGGCACUGCUGCGCGUGAACCACGAGUGGACGCCCAAUCAAAGUAACUGUGUCGUUGCGUGAGAUGCCUCCUCUCCUUGCCUCUUAAUUAUUAAGCCAUGUCCAACAACGACAACAACAAUGAUAAUAAUAAGGAACUGAGGUGAGACAGCUAUAUGCAUAAAUAUAAUUCAACAUAUGGACAAACAACAGAAUAUCUAAGACCUCCUAAUGAUCAGAGUUUUAUAUAUUUCGCUUUAUUUCAACAGUUAAACAUAAAUCGAAUAUGAUUCGUUGAGUAUCUACGAGCUUAGAACUUUUAUUAAGCGUUUAGGGCUAUGUUUGUUAGGAAUCCUUUUAUCAGUGAGUGCUGGUUGCUGAUUUGCUUCGAUCCAUGAAAAUAAGGAUAAAUUUGAAAAGAAAGCACAUAGGAAUCUUAGAGACUUUGUAGUGGGCAAUGCCUUCCAGUAGCUUCUCUUCUAAGCUAAAUUUGGCAUCAUAUGAACAAGUAGAAGCUUAGAUGGAUUAAGAGCUACAACUACAUACAAGAUGUUGAAGAAUACUCGAGUGUUUUUUCAUUGCGAAUGACCAUAAACGUUCUCUUCCUCUAGAAAUUUCUUCCAUAGAAAGAGUUUACAAAGAGACGAGCUGUGCACGGAAGACUUUGGUGCUAGCUCAAAGACGGGGCAGCUUGCUGCCUGGACGCAGCCUCGCCAUUUUGAGAACUGGUGUUAAUUACAGAGUCCCGGUAUGGAUGAGACCAAAUAUCUAAGUUGCGAGCGAUAGCCCGGAGCGUUGCAUUUGUGUCAGCAUUAUACGAGCGGAAAACCACGUUGUUGCGGCUGUUCAAAAUUCUCCACAGCACGAUCAGAAGAACAUGAUUCCAAGCGCCUUCAGAAAGGUGUGGGGGCUGCCCGCAGCUCCAUGGGUCUGCCUUUCCCGCGCCAUCAUAGGUGAUCAUCAGAGUAUCCCAAAUUGAAGCAGCAGCAGGACACUCGAAGAAGAGAUGCAUAUCGCUGAUUCCACUACCGUACCGCGCAGCCGCGAGGACAAAAGGCUUCAUCUUCCUUCAGGAUGUUUAUGUAUAUAUGUAAAUUAUCACAAAAUGUUCUGGCCGGUAAUGGUUGAAAGGAAGCAAAGCAUAGGAGGAGUGGCUAGAGUGCAUCACGUAGAGGUAGGCCUGCUAAUUGGAUUGAAAUCCAACUCUAACCCACACCAAUCCACAUCACGUUAAUUUCUUUUUUCAACCUAACUCACCCCAUAUCUAUAUUAUCUAAACCCAAACCGUUGAUAAAACUCAUGGUUUUGCUAUAUAUAUAAACCUAUGGGCUUAUAUAAAAAACUCGUAUAUAUUUGAAAUAAACGUGAGUCCACCAUGUGGGUCCUACGUGAAGAGCUAGACUCUAAAACUAAAAUGUCGUAUUCACACCUUAAAAUUUUAGCGAAAUUGAUCGAAAUUUGUUGGAGAUGACAGAGUUUGACUGCACGCUACAUUAUGCUAAAUAGUAUGGCUAAACAUACAUAGAGAAAUGAGGAAUGAGGUUGCAGGUUUGAAAGGCAAUCAAAACACUUGUGUUAAUGUCACGGAAAAAACGGUUGAGUCCAGGGGUUGCAUCACAUAUCCACCUAGGACCCUUGUGGUUGCAUCACAAUCGCACGUGUUGAAGAACGUGUGUGUGGUCCUAUAUAUUCUCCUAGAGGCACUCAGUCACCGGGGACUUCUAUUGCUCAGCUCACCAAGCUCAUAUAAUACCUAGUAGCUCGAGCACAGCAACGCACGCAGCCAUGGCGAGCAUGGAGAGCCGAAGCCUCCCCAGGGCAGCAGCCACCUCCAUGGCGCUAGCUAUCGCCAUUGUCUUCCUGAUCUACACAACCGCACGACUGGGAGAUGCGGCAUCCGUUGAGCACACGUUCAUGGUAAGUACGCAUGAUCCUGUUUCAUUCCCUUUGAUCGACUUGUCAGGCGUUAAUCGGUUAUGGUGCAACGAUAUUUACAUUGUAUUAUAGGGUGUUUUUUAAGACAAGCAUAUGCAUCGAUAAACGGUUCUAGAAAAUUAUUUUCUAAAUUAAGAUAUGCGUAAUCAACAAAGGCGUACAUUAGUGGUCACGGGUAGAAAACUCACCUUUAGUCCCAGUUGGUAGGGAGCAAAUCUCCCGAAAAUCCAUCCAGGAUAAACCAAUCGAGACAAAAGGGGGGUCUUUUGUCCUGGGUCACUCAACCGGAACUAAAGACCCCCUUUUAUCCCGGUUGGUAAUACCAACCGGGAUAAAAAGGGUCGCCACGCCAGGCGCAGCUCCCAAAAAAAACAAAGAAAUCCCGGGGACCCCCACACGUGAUUUUUCACGCGAAAUAUGCGCGUGCGUGGUGCGUAGCUUCCUUGCCAUCCCACCUACACAACACAUCUAACUAUAUAGGGAAUGCAAUCCUUUUGUAUUAACUCGUGGGGUCCCAGGCUGGAAACAUCAACAGGGACUAAAGACCCCUUUUAUCCCGAUUGGUAUUACAAACCGGGAUAAAAGGGUUCGAGGGAUUUAGUCCUUGCCAUCCGUGGGGGACCAUUUUAUCCCGGUUGGAAACACCAAUCAUGGUAAAAGAUCCCCUUUUAUCCCAGUUGGUAUUACAAACCGGGUUGGUGUUUCAAACCGGGAUAAAAGGCCUUUCAGGGCCUUUUUUUUUCCACUAGCCUUUGCAACCGGGAUAAAAGGUCCCGGUUGGUGAGCCCCCGUCAGUGACCGAGCUUUAGUCUCGAUUCGUGAACCUUUUAUCCGGUGCCAACUUUAAACCGGGAUAAAAGAGGGUGCAUGGAAGGUGAGUUCUCUACUAGUGGAUUCCCUAUGAAUUCUUAACAAUUCAACCACGAUGUAGGUAUAUAUGUAUCCAUGCUUGAUUUCUUGGAACAUGCACAUAUAUCUGUAGGUGAGCCAGGUGAAGAUGACACACUUGUGCAAGGAGACACUGGUCACCGUGGUGAAUGGGCAGCUCCCAGGACCAGCGAUAGAGGUCACGGAGGGAGACUCGGUGACUGUUCAUGUCGUGAACAAGUCACCCUACAACAUAACAAUACACUGGUAAUCAGCUGAGUUCCUACUCAAUACAAUCACUUUUCUUCCCAAGGACACUAAAAAACCUAUUAAUGUACAUUCACUUUGCAGUGGAAAUAAAAUAAUAAGAUGCUUUCCAGUAAUUCAUCAAAAUAGAAUAUUUUAUUUUAUUUCAUCUUUCGCCAUCUUUUUCUUCUGUGUUGUCUGAUGUAGGCAUGGAGUGAAGCAGUGGCUUAACUGUUGGGCUGACGGGGUGCCGAUGAUUACCCAACUCCCUAUCCAGCCAAACCAAAAUUUCACCUACCGGUUCAACGUCAUCGGGCAGGAAGGCACCUUGUGGUGGCAUGCUCACGUCCCCUUCCUCCGGGCAUCACUGCAUGGCGCCCUCAUCAUCCGGCCAAGAAAUGGGGCGAGCUCAUAUCCAUUUCCAAAGCCAGACAGGGAGGUCCCAAUCAUAAUAGGUUCGUGAAUUAUCUACAUCAUAUUCACUAGCUGUGUUACGAGAACAGAACAAACUGCACCUGAUUUUUUAUUGGAAUCUGUUUGGAAAAGAGAGAAGAAUGGACUGUUCCUAUUUGAAUUGAACUGUCUUUGACUUUGGCAGCGGACUAUUGGCAGCUAGACCUUGCACAGGCGGCAAGGAGGAUGAUGCAUGGUUUCUUGUUUUCUUUCGCCAAUGCUUCCACGAUCAAUGGCAAGCUUGGAGAUAUCUUCAAUUGCUCUGGUAAGAAAUUACUUUCUUACAGCAUUGAUGUCCGUGCCAAUGACAUAUUCCUUUUUUCUGAAAAAAGUGUCUGCUUGAAUUCAACUAUGAAGGUGUGCCGGAAGAUAACUACGUAUUGGACGUUGUGCCUGGCAAGACCUAUCUGCUACGAAUAAUUAACGCCGCGCUCUUCGCCGAGUUCUACCUAAAGAUAGCUGGGCACAAAUUCACUGUGGUUGGUGCCGAUGCCAGCUACGUCAGCCCAUACACCACGGAUGUCAUUGCCAUCGCGCCCGGCGAGACAGUGGAUGCCUUGGUUGUUGCUGAUGCGCCCCCUGGAAGGUACUACAUGGUUGCCCUGCCCAAUCAGGCGCCAUUGCCGGACACCCAGACCCCCGAAUACACAACCAGAGGGAUCAUGCAGUACAGCAACACUCACAGUUCUGCUGAUGAUCCAGCAGGACUAAUAUCAGAUCGUGGUGUGGAAGAAGAAGAAGAAGAUAAAGGUUCAUCCGGUGAUGUGCCAGUAGCACCUGAGAUGCCUGAUAUACAUGACACAAUUACAUCUUACUACUUCCACAGCAACCUGACCAACCUGUACCAAACGGUGGUCCCUCAGCGAGUUGAUGAACGUUUGUUCAUCGUGCUCAGCCUGGGUUCAAUAUGUCAGCAUGGCCAGUCCUGCAGGAGGGGUGAUCACAAUGAGACCAUCCUCAUCGCAACCAUGAACAACGUUUCCUUCCAGGAUCCCACGGGGAAGACGCCACUACUAGAAGCACACUACUACCACACUGGAAGCGUGGACUUGAUGCAAGAACUUCCGGACAGACCACCAAGGGCAUUCAACUUCACUGACGAAGCCUUAAUCCCGUAUGGGCCCAAGGAGAUGCGCUUAGAGCCAUCGUAUAAGGCCACGGUGGUGCGUAGGUUCCGGCAUGGUGCCGUAGUGGAGAUGGUGUUCCAGAGCACAGCAGUUCUACAGGGCGAUUCCAACCCGAUGCAUCUACAUGGUCACAACAUGAUCCUUCUUGCACAGGGGUUUGGUAACUUCGACGCCGCGAAAGAUGUUGCAAAAUACAACUUGGUGAAUCCACCGGUGAAGAACACUAUUCUUGUCCCAAAUCUUGGGUGGGCUGCCAUCCGAUUUGUUGCGAACAAUCCAGGUGUGUCUAAGAUUUAUUUGUGUUAGUCAGGUUUCAAAGUCGACGCUGUCAGAUCUAAUGCUUGUCUUAUAUGAUUUACAGGAGUAUGGUUCAUACAUUGCCACUAUGAAUUCCAUUUGACUAUGGGCAUGGCGGCAGUAUUCAUUGUAGAGGAUGGUCCGACAGUAGACACAUCUCUCCCUCCACCACCUGCUCAUUUUCCAACAUAUUGUGGUCAUGACGACAAUCUCCUUCCGGAUGAACUGUGCCUCCAAACUAAGAAGGAUGCAUGAAAUCCCACGUAUAAAUGUAGUCUGAAUAAAUAUUACUGCAACCGCCAGUUAUCAAAUUAAAUAAUG
rnacentral:lncRNA from 1 species